GACACAAACCUCCUUCCGAGGCCUCAUCUCUUCUUCAUUCUGGGGCCUACUGCUGCUGUUGUGUGGAUUCAGCUGCUUAUGCUUUCCCUCCAGUAGAAUCAGAUUUUGCUUGUGAUGCUGCCAUUGCUACAACUUCGCCAGGAGGUGGGUGGUCAAAUCUGCAGGAUGCGCCAUACUUGCGUGUGCCAGUUUUAAGGUAGUACACACAUAUAACAACACCCUGUAAAAAAGCUCCACCCUAGUUUUAAGAUUUCAUCAUAAAAGAACAGAUAUAGUAAAAUGCUAUGCAAUAGAAAACCCUGUCACUUCUCCCUGGAAAAAAAAGGUUUCGACUGCUAACAUUCCAAUUCUCCACUCACUAUCCGACUAUCGUGCUAACCGUAUACUCAUAGUAUUCAUAGCUUUACGAGAUAAGUGCAAUAGGCGCAUGCUGAUUCAAAGACUUAGCACAAUGUAAUCAUUCUUAUUAGGAAUAGGCGCAUGCUUUUCAAGUUUUAUGGAAUAUACUGGUACCCUGCUUAAAACAAGGAUUUGUUAACCCUACUGAUAAAAAGACGGGAUGAUCCCAAUAGAGUAUAGCUCCACCAUUCGUACCUCUCUCCUAGUAGGGAUGGCAAUAAUCCCCAGCGGGUAGGGUACCUACGGGUAUUCGACCCUAAAGGGAAAAAUAUACGUACGGGGAUAAAUGGGUAACGGGGAUGAAGAUCUUCAGUAUUUGGAUUCUUAAAUCGGGUACAGAGAGGGUAUAGUAUUUUGAUAUUCAUCCCCAUCCCCACCCAUUAAAGAUGUAAAUAUUUUUAUAUAUAAUUAUAUAAUUUAUUAUUAUAUAUAAUAUAUAAUUUAUAAAUAGAUAUUUAUUAUGAUUCUCUUAAAAAACUUGUAUUUAUUUUUAUUGGAUUGAAGCAUGAAACUUAUUUAUUUUGGUAUUUGAUUUUAAUUUCAUAUUUCUAUAUUUCGUAUUUUUAAAAAAAAAUAAUAAUAAUUUAAUACAUAAUUGUUAACGGGGAUCGGGACGGGGAUGAAAAUGUAAUCCUCAAAGGGUAUGAGUACGAGGAAUCCCCAUUAUUUAAUUACGGAGAUGGGACGGGAAAUUUAAAAAGAUAUGGGUAUGGUAUUUUAAUCCCCUUACCCUAUCAUACUAUUGUCAUCCCUAUCACCUAGGUAGUCCAGCUAGUGUUAGCUUCACAUUUUCAUAUACAGUAAUACACUAAUAUAGAGCCUUGUUAGGAAUUUCAAUCAAGGCUGGGGUUUCCUCAUACUGUACCAAUACUAAGAUCACUUAACCAAUAAUCCGAUAUAUUUUGAGGUGAAUUUUUGGAUUGACUGCAGGCAUAAGAUUAAUUACUGAAAUCAGUAGAUAUUCCAAGUCAUUUUACAAGUUUUGAAUACAUCGAACUAACAUUAAAUACCCAAAAAUCGAACUAACAUUAAAUACCCAAAAACUGAAGUGAAAAAUGGUGUCCAGGUAUUCCAAAGUCAUCAACGACCCCGUUUUACAAGUUUCCAAGUCCACUCAAAGCCUUUUAGGUACUUUCUGAUAGACCGAGACUUAGUUUCCCAAAGCACCAACAGUAUGAUUCAGACCAAGCUAGUACUAGUGUUAUCAAUUGUUACGAAAGUUCUUCCAAAAGGGAUACUGGAAUUGACAUCCAAGGGUGACUACAGCUCAAGUAAUUGCUAAGUUGGAAUCGGUGAGAUAAUUAUCGGGAAACAAUUGUAUCUUGCUAGUCAUGUGGAUGAUAUGAACCGCAAACACUUCAAAAAAAAUUGAAAUUAUGAAGAUUGGGGAGUAGUUUAUGAACUAACUGUGGAAGAUUCCUGGAAGAGGCAGGUCGGUGGGAGGUCACUGAUCAGACUAAUUACGAGAGAGGAAAAUGUCUUGUGCUCUGCAACUUGUUCGGAGGAACUUGCUUAUGUCCUUUUCUGUAUUAGCAGUGGUCCCUAGCAAGAAAUAUGACUUAAGGUCACGAUUGGCGGCAAAUUUGACUCUAACUGUUCUUAAGGCCUUGAUAUAGCUACGAUUUUGAGUACAUGCCUUUGGCUCUAGUGGUAUGGGAUGAACGAACAAUACAGUAUAAUACAGUACAAAGAAAUCAAAUAAAAAGCAGAGGGAAUGAUACCUGAGCGAGGGAGCAGCAAUUGCGCUCACCGGAAUUCCACCAGCAAAAAGGCACCCAAGUAGUGCAGCAAUUGCUUCAUGAACUGCUCUUGGUCCUAACUCCUUAACUUCACGCCAUCACGCAACACUUAAUCAAAACAAAAAAUCAGUAAAAAGUUUCCUACUUGAUCACAAUUUCACAGCAAUAGAGAAAGAGAGAGGGACUGACUGGCGAGGGAAUUGUAAAAGUUUCCUACUUGACAUGUUCGGGAUUCAUAAUAGCAGAUUAGCAGGCUAGCAGCUAUCUCGUUAUGCAUACAAUGUUUUUCUUUUUUAACAAGGAAUUAAGAAGGGCUCGAACACAACAUGUUUUUCUUUAAUGAUGAAACAAAAUAUGAAAACAAACUAUAAAACACGUACAAAUGCUCGAGCACAAUAUAUAAAUGUUUAGAUUGACCGCAUAAGAUUAAAUACUCAAAUCAAUAGAUUUUCUGAGUCAUUUUACAAGUUUCAAAUGCAUCGAACUUGGAUACACACUUUCAACAAGGUAUUAGAUCUAACAUCAAACUUGCUUGAAUCAUCUAAAACAUGAUACAUGCUUAACUAUUUAUUACAUGACAGUACAAACAAAACUUAUAUAUAGUCUUAUACUAAUCUCACAACAAUAGACAAUUCAAUUCCUAAAGACACCAACAAACCCAAGAAAAAUACUGAUCGUACUCUUCACCACAGCCCCAGCACCAAAGGGUAGUCACAUGAAAAGCCAAAGGAGAAUGAAACAAUGUACCCCUCAAAAGUGCAUUUUAUUCUUUGAUUUUCUUAUCUUAUCAAGUCUUCCUUUGCCAACGAGCCACUCGCACUGCGAUGAACAAUUCUGCCCUCUCUUGUAUUUUGUCAAAGAAUCGGAAAUAGGCAUACCUCCAUGAUUUCUUCAUAACCAAUGUGCCACAAACACUCCAAAACCCUAUGAUGAAGCCGAGCGCACUGCUAACAUACAUACCAAACGUCCGAUUCUUAUCAUCAUCAUCAUUAUGAUCAUCAUCGCCAAGGUCAGCUGGUGCAAGUGCGGCGUCUCCCGGGCAGAGAGUUGAAAGAGGAACCCCACACAAGGAUGGAUUGCUCUCGUAAAUGGAUGAAUCAUUGAGUGUUUGAAGUUGGUUACCUGAAGGAAUUCUUCCGGACAAGUUGUUGUGAGACAAGUCCAAGUGAGACAAAUAGGUUAAUGAAGAGAGACUGUGUGGAAUAUGUCCGGAGAGGUGAUUGUGCGAGAGAUCAAGAGUUUCAAGCCAUCGCAAGUUUCCAAUCUUUAAGGGAAUGUUUCCGGUCAGAUGAUUUCUGGACAAGUUCAACGUCCCCAAGGCAAUAAGGCUGCUUAUACCUUCAGGGAUUUCACCAUCUAAGUGAUUUGAUGAGAAAUCAAUGGUAUUCACCAAAGGCAGAGUCUUGUUAUACACCAGUUCUUGUCCCUUCAAUGUCAAGGUGGUAGCCUCAUGAUAAGCAUCAUCAUAAAAAUCGGAGAGAGUGCUAUCACCCGUAUCAGUGUCAUUANNNNNNNNNNNNNNNNNNNNUUAUGGCAUUUGAGCUACUGUUUUGUCAAGUUUAUACCCCCAGUAAAAAUUUACUAGGGGUAGUAAACUUCAUUUUUUUGCCGAUAUGCUUCCGGCAAGAUCCGGUGGGUUCCGUUGACAUUUUUUUCAAAAAAAUCCAGUGAGACUCCGGCGUCUUUGGCGAUUUUCCGAUUACCAUCAAUUUUCCAGCGACCGGUGACCGGAAUCUGGCAACCGGUGUUCGGCGACCGGAAUGCGGCUGCCGAUGACUGGCGUCUGAGCCCGGUGUGCUUCCGGCAAAGUCUUCCCUCCAUCUUUUUCAAUUUUUCUCUUUAAGUAAAAACUAAGGGAAAAAAGUCUUUAAAAAUAUAAUAAAUUUAUUAUAUUUUAAUAAAGAUUUGUGUAUUUGGGUUUAAAAUAAGUACUUUGUAUUCAAAUGGGCUAAUAAAAAGGAUUAUCAUUGAAAUGGGGUUUGACUUUUUCUAUUUUGUGCAAAUGGUCUUUUUCCCCAUCCUCGCCUGGCCCUUGUCGGAGGAGGACCAGUACGGCGCCGCCACCUUCCAAAAUCUCCGGAGCAGCGUCUGCAAAUCCGAACCCUCCCUUUGCUGCCAGAUUCAUCAAAUCUUAACAGUCACAAUCACCAAACCAAACUUGCACUAACCAAAACUAGAGAAUCUAUAGUAAUAAAGCACGCACCUUUUCCGGCGGAGUUGGCGGUGGCGGUGGUUGUGGAACCAAGUCAGACGCGGCCGCGGCACGACGCCAUGAAGCGACGUCGUUUCGUCUCCUUCUGAUUGGCAUUGUGUGCAGUGAUGAGGGAAACGUGGGUGCUGUGACUACUAGUGAUUUAAUGUGAUGGUGGGAGUGGUGGGCAGAGUAGCCAUGAGUCAAGCACAGUGAGACGCAGUGAGUUUAAGCUGCGAGUGUCAUCAUUUUUUGUUUUAAAUUUCGUUUCUUUUUGUUACUGGAUUUUAUUUUUUGGUUAUGGUUUGGUACGGAUCCGGCUGUGAGGAGCCGUUAGACUAAGUUUAUAAAAUUCACAUUUUUUAUCUAAUUUAAAGGUUCUAAGCAGAAUACAUCACUCUUAAAUUAAUUUAGGCUAACCCAUGAUUAAUUUUCGUAAACUGCAGUCAACUAAGUAACAAAAAAUAAAAAUAAAAAUAAAAAACAGACGGUUUAACGUCUCCUGUUGUAUUGUGUAUGCUGUCUUGCUUCUGUGCUGUUCUUUUGUUUCUCUACGCGACAAUGGAAACUCGUCCAUGGUUACAAGAAGGCACAAAUACAAUCAAGGUCAUCAAGGCACAUAAGAAAGGGUUAAGUUCUUUUGAUGUGCAAGAGUCUGUUCAUUCCUUUUUAUUGUCUAGUUUGAGGGGAUUUCAUUUAUUCAAACACAUAACUUUCAAAUCAUGGGGUAUGCAAGACUCAAAGAUCGUUGCUAAACUUUGAAAUCAACUGUUUGAUUCUUUUGUAUUUGGGAUUUUUGUAGCGAGUUCUAAUAAUGCACAUAAGAUGUUCGAUGAUAUGACAAGCUCAAUUUUUUUUAUAUCGAAUUCAAAUUUUGUUCAUGUUAACAUAAUAUGAUUUUUGGUAUUAAUUGACAAAAGCCAUAAAGCUGAUUUUCAUCUGUACUAAUUUCAUGUUUAUCUGGUACUCAAUGACCCUCUUUUGCGCACGCAUACCUGACUAUAGUAAUUUGUCAAUCUCUUCGACUCUUGUUUGCAUACAUUUUUCGGACCCCAAAACCAGUUUGGCCUCCGUAGUUCUUCCAAAAUUCAAAUGCAGCAUCUAGGGUAUCAAAUUGCAUCCCUAUUCGAGGAAUCCAAUCAAGAGACUUACUGAUGCCCUCGUCUAAAAUAUUUCUUGCAUGUCAUCCGUCCCACUUCGUAAGUAUUAAAAGAAGACAAAUAAGAACUAUAAGAUACUAUGGUUAAUAAAGUAUCAAGAGGUUGUUGUAAAGGAGGAACCUGUUUGCAUUUGUGCCUUCUUGUAACCAUGGACGAGUUUCCAUUGUCGCGCAGAGGAACAAAAAAACAACACAGAAGCAAGACAGCAGACGCAAUACAACAGAAGAGAUGUGUUAAACCCUUUGUUUUUAUCUGUUUUUUUUUUGGUUACUUAGUUGAUGGCAGUUUACGAAAGUUAACCAUGGGUUAGCCUAAAUUAAUUUAAGAAUGAUGUGUCCUGCUCAGAACCCUUAGAUUAGAUAAAGAGUGUGAAUUUUAUGAACUUAGACUAACUUUACGGGAUCCUCACUUUAGAGGAGUCGGAUCCGUUUGGUACUUUUCAUUUCAGAGCGAGUUUGUCUGAUUUGCUGUGGAGGAUGUGCGGCCAUGCUACUGGUUUUUCAGUGUUUCAUUUUGUUGCAGAAAAAAAAAAUAUGGAUUAUCCUUGACGAAUGAUCCCCAUAAUGCCAUGCAAUUUCUCAACAUUUUUCCAUCAAAACAUCAAUUUCGAUUUACCAACGUUUUAUGGUGUCAAAAAAUAUUUUAGCGGAAAUUUAUUAGAGUAAUUUUUAGUAGAUUGGUUUUUUAGGUAUUUCGAAAAGUAUAUCAGAAUGAUCCUAUCUCAUUAAUGAAAGCAGUCACAAUGAUGAAUUUCACUCAUUACACACAAAGAUAACACCGUUAUACAUUUUUUUGUCUUUUAGUCUAUUUUUAUAAAAUGAGCAUAAGACGAUCCAAUUUGCAAAUCGGUUGAUUGGCUAAAUUUGGAUCAUACUGUACUAAUACUAAGAUCACUUGAUCAAUUUUCAUAUACAAAGCCUCGGUAGGGAAUUCCGAUCAAGGCUAGGGUUCCUCAUGCUAACCCAAAUAAAUUGCAGGGCAAGUAGAAGUAGUAACCAAUACUUUUGAGGUGACGGUCGGUAGCUAGGCUUCAUAAUAGCAGAUAAGCAGGCUAGUUAGCAGCUAUCUCAUUAUGUAUACAAUGUUUUUUUUAACAAGGAAUUAAGAAUGACUUGAACACGACAUGUUUUUCUUUUAUGAUGAAACAAAACAUGAAAACAAACUCUAACACCUACAAAUGCUCGAGCACAAUAUAUAAAAUUUUGGAUUGACCACACAAGGUCAAAUACUCAAAUCAAUAGAUUUUUCAAGUCCUUUUACAAGUUUCAAACGCAUCGAACUUGGAUACACACUUUCAGGAAGACAUUAGAUUCAACAUCAAACUUGCUUGAAUCAUCUAAAACAUGAUCCAAGCUUAACUAUUUAUUAUUACAUGACAAUACAAAAUUACAAACCAAACUUAUAUAUAACAUAUAUAUACUAAUCUCACAACAAUAGACAGAAUUCAAAAUCUAAAGACACCAGUAAACCCAGGAACAAUACUGGCCGUACUCUUCAACAAAGCCCCAGCACCAAAGGGCAGUCACAUGAAAAGCACCCGAACCAAGGAGAAUGAAACAAUGUACCCCUCAAAAAAGCUAGAAAUGCCCUAUAUUGACCGCCUUCAAUGCAUUUUAUUAUUUGAUUUUCUUAUCUUAUCAAGUCUUCCUUUGCCAACGAGCCACUCUCGUUGCGAUGACCAAUUCUGCCCUCUCUUGUAUUUUGUCAAAGAAUCGGAAAUAGGCAUACCUCCAUGAUUUCUUCAUAACCAAUGUGCCACAAACACUCCAAAACCCUGUGAUGAAGCCAAGUGCACCCUAACAUACAUACCAAGCUUCCCAUUAUCAUCAUUAUCGUUGUCAUUAUGACCAUCAUCAUCGUUGGGGUCAGCUGGUGCUGGUGCGGGUGCGGCGUCUCCCGCGCAGAGAGUUGAAAGAGGAACCCCACACAAGGAUGGGUUACUCUCGUAAAUGGAUGAAUCAUUGAGUGUUUGAAGUUGGUUACCUGAAGGAAUUCUUCCGGACAAGUUGUUGUGAGACAAGUCCAAGUGAGACAAAGAGGUUAAUGAAGAGAGACUGUGUAGAAUAUGUCCGGAGAGGUUAUUGUGCGAGAGAUCAAGAGUUUCAAUCCAUCGCAAGUUUCCAAUCUUUGAGGGAAUGUUUCCGGUCAGAUGAUUUCUGGACAAGUUCAACGUCCCCAAGGCAAUAAGGCUGCUUACACCUUUAGGGAUUUCACCAUGCAAGUGAUUUGAUGAGAAAUCAAUGGUAUUCACCAAAGGCAGAGUCUUGUUAUACACCAGUUCUUGUCCCUUCAAUGUCAAGAUGGUAGCCUCAAGAAAAUCCGAAAUAAAGGACCGAGUAACUCCCGGAUCAGUGUCAUUACCAAAAGCCAAAGCAGUCAAAUUGUACAAACAUUGGGGAAUGGUCCCUGAAAAGUUGUUGCGGCUAAGAUCAAUGACAUGCAGAGAUUGAAAAGAGCACAAUCGAUUGGGAAUAUGUCCGCUUAAGGAGUUCAAUCGCAAUUGGAUCCUACGUAAGUUGAAGGAGAGGGUGAGGUACUAGGAGCUGAUGGAGAUGAUGGUGAAGUAGUGGAUGAUACUUGAGGGGCCACUGGUGAGGUGGGAGAGUUGUAUGGUCUGAUGGAAGAAUGGGAGGGAUUAAGUGACAUAGUGUGUGAUGAGAAAUAAAACUCCAAGAUCUCAGUCGGGGCGUCAUGUGCAGGAGUAGCAGCAAUAGUCUCUCGAAAAAAACAAUUUUCAUUAAAGAUGACAUGUUUGGACAAAUAGACUCGACGUGUGGACAACCCUAGACACCGAUAUCCAUGAUGAUUGAGAGAGUAUUUCUGAGCCUGAGAUACGUUAAUUCAGUUUGAGAUCGAAGCCACAUCCCAAAGGCAGGACCUACUCUGCAGUCAACAAUAUCGAGUAAAUCAAGCUUGAAAGGAGGAACCCAGUCCUGAGCCACAUUCAAACUGAGGGAGAAAGGUUGCUCUGUGCUUAUAGCAAAAGACUUUGUGAGAGUUUGGAAAUGGACUUCUGUUAAAAUGCCUUCCCACGAAUUCAAAGAUAGAUCUAGGUCAACUAGCCGAGAGAGUUGUCCCAAACUUGCAGGAAUGGACCCAUUCAUAUGAUUCCUAGAGAUGUAUUGCAUAUGCAGAGAGACUCAGCUUAAUAAAGGAGAACGAAUAGGUCAACACUUGCACGUCCUUAUACUCAGAGCAUAAAGAAUGGCUGAUAGGGGCAAUUCUAUAUACUAGAGCAUUAGGCAACUAACACCGUUCAUAUCUUUGUUUAAUUAUGAGCAUUAGGCAACUAAUACUGUUCAUAUCUUUGUUUAAUUAUNNNNNNNNNNNNNNNNNNNNCAAUUGGAUCCUACGUAAGUUGGAUGACAAAGGUGAUCUUGUCUGUAGAGGUAGAGGUAUGCCUCCUGUAAAUUUAUUUCCUGCAAGAUCAAUACUCACCAACUCUGUGCAAUUUUGGAAUAAGGAAGAAGGAAUUUGACCCGUGAAAUUGUUGUUGCUCAGAUUCAAUACCCAUAGUGAGCUCGGGACACCCAUUGAACUGGUGAUAUUGCCGGUCAAAUCGUUGUAUGAGACAUCUACAGCUUGUAUAUAUGGCCACAUACUCCAUGCUCGAGAGAAGUCUCCAGACAAGUGAUUGCUUCUUAAAAUAAGGAAUCUCAAACUUGACAUGUUGCAUAAAGAGGGUGGUAUACUACCACUCAGAUUAUUGUCAGAAAGAGACAAUUCUUCCAAAUUAGGCAACAGUUGGUCAUAGUUUGAGGGAAUUGGCCCCGACAAAGAGUUGCUUCGAAGAUCGAGAUAGUAGGCAGCAUCACUAGACCAUUGUGGCAGAGGGCCCUCAAAUUCAUUAUGAUUCAGAUCUAUAUACUCCAAAGAUGGGGAGUUCAUGUGAAAUGGAAGCUUUCCACGGAUUUGGUUGUUGGACAAAUCCACCAAUGUGAGUUUGGAAGAUAUCGUCAAGAACCAUUCCUCUGGUAUGGAGUCUGAUAUUCCAGUAUUUCUGAGCCUGAGAAACGUUAAUUCAGUUUGAGAUCGAAGCCACAUCCCAAAGGCAGGACCUACUCUGCAGUUAACAAUGUCGAGUGAAUCAAGCUGGAAAGGAGGAACCCAGUCAUGAGCCACAUUCAAACUGAGGGAGAAAGGUUGCUCUGUGGUUAUAGCAAAAGACUCUAACUUUGUGAGAGUUCGGAAAUGGACUUCUGUUAAAAUGCCUUCCCACGAAUUCGAAAAUAGAUGUAGGUGAACUAGCUGAGAGAGUUGUCCCAAACUUGCAGGAAUGGACCCAUUCAUAUGAUUCCAAGAGAUGUCCAGUUUUUCCAAGGAUGAUAAAUUACCAAUAGAUUCUGGAAUUGAACCAUAAAAUUUGUUGUCACGGAGGUCAAGUUCCUUCAGAUUUUCUAGCACUCCUAAGGCGGCAGGCAGUUCACCUUUUAUCUCAUUGGUGGACAAAUCAAGCGACUCUAGUCUGUAACUUGUGCAGUUUGAGAAGCCAUUCAAAACCUCUUCCAAACCAUCACUGAACGAGUUUUCAGAAAGAUUUAAUAUCCUUAGGUUACACAAUCUACCAAAGACUUCGGGAAUUUGACCUUGGGGAGUAAACGGAGAAUUGAACCUUAAUUGAAGGUCUUCCAAAGACUUAAGGUUAGCAAGUUCAACAGGGAAGGGAGUCAAGGGACUGAACAAAUUGCCAGAUGCAUCAAGUUUUUUGAGGUUGGUAAGAUUAAAAAUCCAGCUGGGAAAUGAAGAAUCAAUAUAAUUCCCUGAUAUAUCAAGAACCAAGAGGGAUGUGAAGUUCACUGACCGCAGCUGGGAUUGUGGAAGCUUUUCAAUUUGGCAAUUAAACAAAUGCAACUCCAAGAGUGAAGGAAGCAUGUUGACAUCAUGUAGCCAACUUCCUGCUAAGCUGCUGAGGUUAACACCUCCAAGAUUGAGGUACUUUAGGGAAGAGAGAUGAGAAAGCCAAUUCAAGUUAUUGGAAUAACAAUAGUCAUAGUAAUAACUAUUGAGGUCAAGAUAGUUCAAAUUUGAGAGGUUACCAAGAGUUGGGGGAAUCUCUCCCUUAAAUGAAGCAUAGGAGAGAUUAAGAUACCUCAAACUUGUAAGCUUCCCAAAGAAAUCAGGAAUUCGGAGUCCUCGAAAAUCAUUUCCGCUUAGGUCAAGGCUAUACAACUUCUUUAAGCUAAGCAAAGAAGGAUUGAUGUUACCCCCCAAAGAAGUAUCCUGGUCGGAGGAGUCAUACUCUGGAUGAUAAUUCGGGUUCCGGAGGUCCAUCUGUGCAACGUGGCCUGUACGGUUGUUGCAUGAAAUCCCUUUCCAUCGACAGCAAUCCAGACCCACCCAAGAUGAAAGCCUGCCGGAACUGUCAUUAACAUUUCUUUUGAAGCUGAGAAGAGCUUGUCUCUCUUCCUCGAUGCAUGAUGCACUCGGAAGUCUUUCUCCCAAACACAGUUGAGAAGUCUGCAGAUAUGAAGAUGCCAGAAAAAGAAAGAGCAAGUAGUGAGCAACAAUUUGGAUGUGGAAGCGAUAGCCGGUAGGCUUGAAUAGGCCUGCACACAAGCUAUCCAUCAUUAUACAAAUAUUUUCUUCAACUUUGUAAAUGUAAAGAAAUAAUAGAAUUCUAAACCGAAUUUAAUGUUGUACCGAAUAGUCUGAAAUGAAUUGGUGUCCAGGUAUUUCAAAGUCAUCAACGACCUCGUUCUCCAAGUUUCCAAGUCUCCAAGUCCACCCAUUCGAGAGUCAUAUAUACGUGUAUUUGGGACUAAUUUGAAAUGUUGAAGGAAUCGAUACUGGAACUGAACAUGACAUCUCCAUCAAGUAGUAUUCAUAGCUUUACGAGAUAAGUGCAAUAGGCGCAUGCUGAUUCAAAGACUUAGCACAUUGUAAUCAUUCUUAUUAGGACUAGGCGCAUGCUUUUCAAGUUUUAUGGAAUAUACUGGUACCCUGCUUAAAACAAGGAUUUGUUAACCCUACUGAUAAAAAGACGGGAUGAUCCCAAUAGAGUAUAGCUCCACCAUUCGUACCUCUCUCCUAGGUAGUCCAGCUAGUGUUAGCUUCACAUUUUCAUGUACAAUAAUACACUAAUACAGAGCCUUGGUAGGAAUUCCGAUCAAAGCUGGGGUUUCCUCAUACUGUACCAAUACUAAGAUCACUAAACCAAUAAUCCAAUAUAUUUUGAGGAGAAUUUUUUGGAUCGACUGCAGGCAUAAGAUUAAAUACUGAAAUCAGUAGAUAUUCCAAGUCCUUUUACAAGUUUUGAAUGAAUCGAACUAACAUUAAAUACCCAAAAAUCGAACUAACAUUAAAUACCCAAAAAUUUAUGGAAUUAUAAAACCGAACUAACAUUAAAUACCCAAAAAUCUGAAGUGAAAAAUGGUGUCCAGGUAUUCCAAAGUCAUCAACGACCCCGUUCUCCAAGUUUCCAAGUCCACUCAAAGCCUUUUAGGUACUUUCUGAUAGACCGAGACUUGGUUUCCCAAAUCACCAACAGUAUGAUUCAGACCAAACUAGUACUUGUGUAAUCAAUUGUUACGAAAGUUCUACUAAAAGGGAUACUGGAAUUGACAUCCAAGGGUGACUACAGCUCGACCAAGUAAUUGCUAAGUUGGAAUCGGUGAGAUAAUUAUCGGGAAACAAUUGUAUCUUGCUUAGUCAUGUGGAUGAUAUGAACCACAAACACUUAAAAAAAAAAUUGAAAUUAUGAAGAUUGGGGAGUAGUUUAUGAACUAACUGUGGAAGAUUCCUGGAAGAGGCAGGUCGGUGGGAGGUCACUGAUCAGACUAAUUACAGGAGAGGAAAAUGUCUUGUGCUCUGAAACUUGUUCGGAGGAACUUGCUUAUGUCCUUUUCUGUAUUAGCAGUGGCCCCUAACAAGAAAUAUGACUUAAGGUCACGAUUGACAGCAAAUUUGACUCUAAUUGUUCUUAAGACCUUGAUAUAGCUACGAUUUUGAGUGCAUGCCUUUGGCUCUAGGGGUAUGGGAUGAACGGACAAUACAGUAUAAAGAACAGCAAAAAGGCACCCAAGUAGUACAGAAAUUGCUUCAUGAACUGCUCUUGGUCCUAACUCCUUAACUUCACGCCAUCACGCAACAUUUCAUCAAAACAAAAAAUCAGUAAAAAGUUUCCUACUUGAUCACAAUUUCACAGCAACAGAGAAAGAGGGACUGACUGGCAAUGGCAUUGUACAAGUCACGGCCGAGGAAAAUGAAGCCGACGCUGAUUCCGGUGGUGGCGAGAGCUAGAAGAAACACUCCUCCGAGCUGCAUCCUCGCCUGGACCUUGUCGUCGGAGGACCAGUACGGCGCCGCCACCUUCCAGAAUCUCCGGAGCAGUAGAGAUUGGAGGGUUCUGAGGUGAAGGAGUGUUGGGGUUGAAUAUAUUGGGUUAGAUGAUAAGAUGAGUUCUUUUCUGGGUUUCGAGGGAUCUGGAGAGGGGGGUGGGGGGUAGGGAAGGGUGAGUCAACUCGGCGAGUCGGUGAACCUGAUUUUACCUCUUUUACCUCCUAUGACUUUUUCUAUUUUUUUUUUAGUAAACUACAGUUUAGUUACUAAUCAAAUUUCAACUUGUAAAUACAUUCUUUACACAGUAUCUUAAGGACAAAUAUUAACAAAUUAGGACAAACCAAUGUCAUCAUGUCAUCUAUCAUUACCUAUUUAACCCAAAUACCCUUCUUCCCUAUCCAUAAAAAUAGCUGAAAAAAUCAAAAUUCUCAUCAAUUCCCAAACCUAACGUGAUCGACCGUCCCUCUAGUUUUCUCUCUUCUCUGUGACGAACAGUGUCGCCGGAGGAAUUUCGUUGUUUUGCAUACCGGAAAGCUCAAUAGAGAGUCCGAUCAUCUAUCUUCGUCACCAUCAGUUCUCUUUUGGUUCGUAGAAGCAAUCUAUUAUUCUUUGAGAUAAUCGAAUUUUCAGGUUAGAUUCUGGCUUAUUCCUGUCCUUUUAUGCUUUAAUUUCAUGUUUGAUCGUAAUUUGAUGCUUGUGUUUUGUUUUGAUCAUCUAGUUUACAUGAUCUCUUAUGGAAUUCGUCUAGUUAUUGUUUAAUUUUGGUUCGUUUUGAAUUUUGAACUACUUUUUGGUUGAAAAUCAUAAUCGUAGCAUAGCAGUAGCAUGUUUAUGAUUAUAGGUUAGAACAGUAGCAUAAUAACAGAGGAAGUAUUAGUAGUUUGUUUUUGUAGUUUUUGACUAUAAGGAACUACUGGCAUAGUAGCAUAGUAAUAGCAUAGUAUCAUAUUGAAAGAACUAGUUUAUGCUGAAUUCAUAAUAGAGCAGUAGCAUAACAGAUUUUGCGUUUAUGUAUGUACUAACACAGUAGCAUAACAGUAGCAUACCAUAUAUGUAUUAACAGAUUUUGGUUUGUGGAUAAAUUGUGGCAUAACAGAUGAACAUAGUAGCAUAUAUGUUUAUUAACACAAUAGCAGAUAUGUUUAUUAACAGUUUCAUAACAGAUAUGUUUCAGUUUUUGUAUUGUAGAUAAAUUGUAGUAUAACAAUAGCAGGUUUUGGUUUUUUGUGCAUAUGUUAUGUAUUAACACUGUAGCACAUACAACAUAUUGGUAGCUUUGUUAACAGAUUUUCUAAUCGUGUUAUGUAGUAUGACAAAGCCUAUAUAUGGAAGAUUUACUUAUGGCACAGAGACCAUUCUUUUACCAUUGUGUUCAAGCACCACCUAUGAAGAGUUGCUCGCGAAAGUUUCCUCAAGAUUUCGGUAUCUUGGUGGUCGAUUUGUUUUUAGAUAUAUAUGCACUCACUGAUUGUUCCAACUGUCAUUUAGAAUGUGAUGAUGGCAUUUCUGUCAUGUUGGAUAUCUUUCCUAUGUUGAACUCUCCCUUUAUAGAUAUACAUGUUCUGGAUAUUGGAUGUAGCUCUAAGAGCUGUAUUGAUGAGAAAAUUCAUGUUGCUGUGAUGCCUGCUACUAUUGUACCUAAUGCUUUUGAGGAUGUCCCUCUACAUGUUGCUAAAGCUAAUCUGAGUAGCGAUGAUUCAAACUACGAGAAUGUUGAUAAUAUGGUCAUUGGAAAUUUUGUUAGUAACAAGUCCAAGAGGAAGUAUAUGUCUAGUGAAUGGAGCGAGUAUAUCAACAAAAUUGGUCAAGUUUUUGUUGGUGUUGCCAUAGAAUUUCGGCAAAAGUUGUGCAAGUUUGCAAUAGAGAAGGGUUUUCUAUUUGAUUAUGCCAAAAACGACAACUUAAGGGUCAGUGCUACUUGUUCGAAAAAGGAAUCUGAGAAGUGUGAAUGGUACAUUUAUGCUUCCAUAGAAAAGGCUAGCGGCUUCUUUGUUAUUAGAAAGUCGGUGAAUACUCAUUCUUGUCUUGGUAUCGUGAGGCAUGAAAACCAUAAGAAGCUAGGAUCUAAAGUGAUUUCCAGUAUCAUUGUUGAUAAAGUGAAAUCUGAUCCUUUGAUUAAGCCGACAAAUAUUGUUAAGAAUUUUAAGGAAGAAUAUGGCUUGGUCAUUCCAUAUUACAUGACAUAUAGAGGAAAGGAUUCUGCUAAUGAUCUUUUCAAUGGUAGUGAAGCUCUUGGGUAUGCUCUAUUGCCUUGGUACAUUGAUGCAUUGAAGAGAACUAACCCUGAUUCAUAUUGCAUUCUUGACUCUAUUGAAGGUCGUUUUCGACGAUUGUUCAUUUGUUAUGGUGCUUGCCUAAAGGGUUUCCAAUAUUGUCAACCGAUGCUAUUUAUAGACGGGACUUUUAUUAAAAACAAGUACAAGGGUGUCCUGUUAAGUGCUUGUGCUGAAACAGUGACUAAAGGUAUGCAAAUUUUUUCUGAAGUUUACUUUUGCUAUUUCGAUUUUGUCUAGGUAGUAGCAGCAUUAGUAUACCAUGAUUCAUUGUGAUUUUUUAUUGUAAAUUCAUGUGGACUUCAUACCAUCAGCCUUUUUUCUUGUGAUUUUCACCCGAUUAUGUUUUGCAUAUUGUUCCUAUAGUCUAGUUGUAUAUCUUUAUGUCAGUAGUAGUAUCAUUUUAUAGCAAAAGCUGCUGUUAAUUUUGAUCCUAUUUGUUAUCUUAUUUAUAUCCUAUUUUUUGUUUUUGUUAUUUCAGAAAUAUUCCAAUUUGCCUUUGCGGUUGUUGACACUGAAACCAAAGAGAAUUGGAACUGGUUUCUGGAGCAUUUAUGUAAUACCCCGAAAUUUUAAUAUUAGUUUCUAAUAUUAUUUAAUAUUAUUUUGGAAAUUAUUUAAGUAAGAGUUGUAUGGAUUUGUGGUUUAGUGAGUGGACUGGAAGUAGUUGAGUUUUUAGUUCCGUGAAAAUGCUCUAUUUUGAAGGGUUAAGAGUUGACUUUUUAAUCUGUUGGGUUUCUCGGGAAACUUCCUUCACAAAAUUUGUAGAGCACGACGAUACGAGUUCGUAGACACGUGGCACGCGUAAAACGGACUUCAUGUGGAAGUUAUGGUCAGCGGAAGUUGUGGCUUUUCGGGAAUAUUUAGGUUAAAUAGGAAAUUUUCAGUUUGGGUCCUCAGUUUUUCAGAAACCAGAUUUUCCUCCCUCUCCUUCUCUCUGUCCGACCCCGAGAGAAUUCAAAGUCCUCCAACCGACCCGACCCUGACCCGGUGACCCGACCCGGCUUUUCCGGCCACCUCCGACCGACCUAAACGCCGGCACCGAUCGGGUUCUCUUCCUCUCCUCCGUCUGAGCUGCCCUGCGGUGGUGACUUGCGCCGAUUCGGUCCCGAAGUGGUGACCCGAAGCUCGGAAUUUCGGGUUAGAGACCCGGUCAGGUUUCAGACCUCCGACGGCGGCGACAAGGCGGGAGACCGGUCGGGAUAGAAGUUCCUUGGCGUCCUGGUUCGACUUCUGGUGGCCUUGGAGCGCGACUCACGGUGGAGAGUGGCGAUGGUGGAUUCCAAACUUUCCGACGCGUUUCCGGUGAUUUCCGGCCGAUUUCGGCCGAACUAGAUAAACCCUCAGGUAUGAAAGAUGCUCCUCUCUCCUCAAUCUACAAAUUUGAUGUUUAGAGGAUGCCCAAAUUCGGACGUUUCGUGGUGGCGCGUGGGGCCCACUCGCAGCCGCCUGUGGUGGUGCGUGGCCGCGCGUUCGGUAGUGUCUGGGGUGUUUUGUGGUGCUGGUUAGAUAGUACUCUUCGAUACGAGCGUGUUGAUUUGUGGGUUGUAGGUUUUGGUUAUCUUUAUUGCAUGCUAGGGUUUCCCCGUGGUGUUAAGUUUCGUUCGUUUCAUUUUUUGAGUAAUCCGAACAUGAGAAUCUGGUUAGUAGUUCUAUAGGAUGUGUAGGACGUUUCAGCGACCUUUUAGAGGUCAAGGAGGAGGAUUUGUCUCGAGUGAUAAGCUUGUGGAUUAGGACUUGAGUUUCGGUUCGAGUCGGAUAAUGUUGUUUUCUUAGUUACUAAGGUUAACGUUUUGUUAAUAGGUGACUUGUGGUGUGGUUUUGUGUGAUAUGCUUGUGUUGUGCGUGCGAAGACGCAGCUGGAUUUGAGGUGAGUAACAUCUCACUAAGGUCCACUUUCGGACCAAUCAUUUAUAAUUAUUAUGAUGUUGAUUUUGAAGAUGAUUAUGUUGAUGAUUGUGAUGUUGAUUUUGAUAUGAUGAUAAUUGUAUGAUGAUGAUGAGAUUAAUGAUGAUGAUGAAAAUGUUGAUGAUAUGAUGAUUAUGAUGAUAAUUAUUAUGAUGACGAUGGUAAUAGGUUUGAUUGAUGAUUAUGAUGCUAUUUUUAAAUUGUGAGUAAAUCUCACAUGGGUUCUUAAGAAACCAAAUUUAUUUUAUAAUUUUGUUAUGGUUAGAUGUGAAGUUGUCCUUAAAGAAAAAAUGAUUUUUGUUUUAAAAAUAAAUGAGCUUGAUCGUCAACGGCUCAUGGGUAAGUGAAAAUAUGUUUUCUGGUAAAAUAAAAUCUUUCCAAAAGGACUUCCGAUCAUGUGAUUUGUGAUGCUGAAAUAUGGUUGUUGAUAUUUUUAUUCUAGUGGGAAUAUCUAUGUCUUUGUUAUAUAAAUAUAUCUAGGUGGAAAGAUAUAAUUUAUGAAGUGCUCUUGUGUUGUUAUUGAUGAUAUUUUUAUAUUGUGAAUUGUUGUUUAAAUAGUCAAACCGGGUUCCGAGCCUUUAAUCGGGUGAUUGGUUACGGUUAUGAUAUUAUUAUUUUAUGAUUUGAUAAGUGUUAUGACGUGAGAGUAAUAGAAUGUGUGUCUUAGUGGUGAUGGUGUGCAUUAGAUUAGGAGCCUUCGUGGUGGACCGGGAACCAAGCCUUGGCCGGGUGAUUGGUUACGGUCAGUAUAGAGCUCUAGUCUGUCAGUCGGUACUUCAUGGGGGAUGACUACGUGUUGAUGAACCCAUGAGUACGCAUUUGUUGGUUACUUAUGGGGGAUGACUAAGUGUUGGCGAACUCAUAAUUAAGAGUAGAGAAAUGAUUGUUUGAGGUUCUUAUUUGUUGUCUUUUAAAAUUCCUCGUUUUAAGUAUUUCUUGAACUAUGCCUUUUUCUAGGAUUUCAUUUUGAUUUGUUUGAUUGUGAAUUGUUGCAUUUCCUUUUAAUUAUUUGUUUCAUUUAUGAUUUUGAGUGAUUUUGAAUUAUUGUGUUUUUCUUAAUUGUUCUUUUGAUUUCUCUUGCUUUUAGGUGAUUCCUGAACUAAGUUAUUAAUACAGGAAUUACCAAUUUUAUUUAUAUGUGAUGUUGGAAUUGUUGAGUUAAUAUUUGGGAGUUACUCAUACGAGCUUUUUAGCUUACCGGGUUUGUUGUUUACAACCCGGUGCACAAAUUCAUGGUGUAGGGGUUAGACCUGCAGGUGAUGAUCAGCAGGGUUGAGGCAGUGUCCUAGGAGCUGGGUUUUUGACGAGAUACAUUUAUUUGUAUUUUUAUGGUAGUUGUUUUAAGCUCUUGGACUUUUGGAAGUUGAUGUAAUUAAGGAGAAUAAAUGUUUAACUCAGUUGUUGAGUUUGUUAACAUCUACAUUUCUAGUAUCUGUUUUUAGUUUGAUAGUUGUUGAGCAGGUUUUGGGGUAUUUAGAAUUUGAGUUUUAUCAUGCCCAAAUUUUUGAAAUUUUAUCCUUCGAAAAUUGGGGCGUGACAAUUUAGCAAUCAUUCUAAUGACUGACUAUCGCAAUAUUGUGUUCAUGUCAGACCGUGGACGUGGUCUUUUGGAUGGUGUGAAAGAGGUUUUUCCAAAUGCUCCCCACUCUUUCUGUAUUAAGCAUUUGAAGGACAACUUGAGUGGCAGGUAUCCAAUUCUUUUGGUUCUACUUAUAGGAAACACAUUGUCAAAUUGUUUCAGAAAUGUGCGUAUGCUAGGACUGUGGACAUCUUUAACGAAAAAAUGGAAGAGUUUAAGAAAGAAUGUCGUAAUCUGGGUGAGUCCUUUCUUGAAAAGUUGGCAUCAGAAAACUAUGCUAUUACUUGUUUCCCUGCCAAAAGAUAUGGCAAAAUGAGUAACUCUUUGGCAGAGAGUAACAAUAAGAUGCUCAUUGAUGAGAGAUGCAUGCCGCUGCCCUAGUUGCUUAAAGGCAUUUGUGUCAAGACUAUGAAUAAGUUUCAUGAAAGGAAGGUCGAAUCUUCUACUUGGAGGUCUGUGCUGUGUCCUAAGCUUGAGAAAAAGCUGUCGAAAAGGUUGGAAACUGGGAGAAACUGGAGAGUCAGUCAGUCUAGCGUUGAUGUUUUUGAAGUGUGCACAGAGGAUAGCAAUGACAUGGUGAACUUGGUUGAGAUGGAGUGUUCAUGUGGUUGGUGGCAAUUUCGGUGCUUCCCUUGUUCUCAUGCAGUUCAAGUGAUGCAGAAGGCAAAUCGCCUACCUUACCAUUACAUUGAAGAUUACUGGAAGACUUCAUUUUAUAGAAGUGCACAUGACCAAGCUAUUAUUCCAGUCCUGGAUCGUUAUAAGCCUAAUCCCAACAGUUUUGGUGAUUUUGCUUUGCAGCCUCCCAUUACUCAAAAACCUCCCAGAAGACCAAAGACAAGGAGGAUUAGGUCUUUUGGUGAAGAGGCCAUACCAAUGCAAUGCCAACGCUGUCAUCAACUUGCCCACCACAACAGCAGGUCAUGCACUACAGCUAUAUGAGCAGUAGCAUAUGUAGGGAAACCGAUUAUGUUAGGAAAAAAUUGGUCAUGGAUCAAUGUUUUUAAGAAGUAGCACAUUUUGACAGUAGCAAAUUUGACUUUAGAAGAUGUUAUUGCUUUGCUAGCAAAUUACAGAUUUUCAGAUUUUACAGGAAAAUGUUUGAAUUUCAGCUACUUGAUAUUCUUUGCUAGCAGCUAUAUCGUACUUCUAUUUUUUUAAUUUUUUUUUCGUUUUGAGGUCAGUAGCAGGGUAUUCGCGGUGCAGCGGCACGCUGCUUUACUCAUGUACUAUAUUUUUCAUGAAUUUAGUUUGAUUUUGCCUCUUCUUUUUUGUGCCAAAUCCCCUUGCUUUUUCAUAGAAAGAGGCUGUGCACAGUUAGCGAGUCUUUGGCUCUCCUGAGAAUGAUUACCAAUUACCAAUUUAGCAAAGUAGUUUUUUGGCUUUAUUUUUGUAAUGCAUAUUGGCUCUAAAACCUAUCAGCAAAACUUCCAGCAACCAAACACAACAUUAAUGCCUGUUAUUUGCACAAAACAUUCAAUUAUGAUAUACCAAGAGCUACAUGAUGCAAGCCAACCUGUACAAACUCCCAACUUAGUAGCAUACUGAAAAGAACUAGUUCAAGUUGAAUUCAUAAUAAACUGUAUCAGAGUAGUAGCAUGGUUUUACAGUUCAUCCAAACAAGGUUAUGAAGCAAUGCUUAAACGAAAACCUAGACCGCUAUCUAUCCUAAUACAGUAGCAGCAUUUUCAUUUUCCAUUCCUUGGUUUUUUUGAGAGUCUCUGCACCUCGUAAUCUUCCAUUUUCUUCUCUUUUCGGUCCCUCCUUCCUUUGAUCCUCUUGACUAUUGAACGCGUCCUUGGAGAAGUAGCAGGUUGAGCUUCAUUUUCAACUUUGCCCUUUUCUGUAGCCUUUGCUGUGGCAGUUUCAGCUACUUUGUCAUCUUUUGCAGCUGCACCCUUCUCAGCUUCUUAUGCAGUUGCACAUUCUGAGCAAGAACCACAUUUGGAACGACAAAUUUCCUUCUAAGCAAUAAAAUUGCAUAUUCAUUAGACAAAUCAAACUAUGUCUCAAAAUUUUAAAUUCUCAAUGAACACAUAACAACAAAGUAAAUCAAGACAAAGGAAAUCACCUCAGUAGCAACCUUAGCCACACUCUCUUCAACUUCUAGAUCGACAAUUUUUUCACUCCCAGCUCCACCUUUUUCACCCUCAGUGUCUUUCUCACUCCUAGCACCCUCUAAACCCUUUUGCAGUAGCCAUAGUUGUCUGCACUUUAUCCUUAACUUUUUAAUAUGUUCUUCCUUCUUCUUCAGCUUUGCCUUCAAUUGCUUGUAUUUUUUGGUCACUUCUUCUUUUUCUAUAGCCGUUCUAUGUAAUCAGAAUUCCUCUUGCAGGAGGCGCAGGUAUCUAUUGCAGACCCAUUCUGCUGGUGCUCCACAGUGUUAACGUCUUUGUCUUCACUGCUUUGAUACUCAAUUCCGUUAUAUAUCAGGGCCUCCUUUUCCAUUUGCUUUACCCACUGUUCAAGUUCUUUCGGAGUACUCACUUUGUUAUGUUUCAUUGUCUUCGAAAAUACCUCAGUUUCUCCAUCCCUAUCCUGAUUGAAAAACUCAGGAUUCUUUCUGUCUCUGCGGCAUUUUGUUCAUAGAUUGCAUCCUCAAACUCAUCUACAUUUCCUUCAGCUCCUUCUCCAUUCUCAAAGUUCAAUUCAACCAUUUCCUUACCCUUUCCAUCUACUUUGGCAUGUUGAUUCUCUAUUUCCUCUGUUUACCCAAUCUUCUAAUGCCAAGUAUUUAGGUUCCUCUUGAACUUGUUCAGCAGCACCCUCUUGAACUUAUUCAGUAGCUAUCUCCAUAAAUUGGUCGGCAGCAUCCUCUUGAACUUGUUCAGCAGCACCCUCUUGAACUUGUUCAAUAGCUAUCUCCAUAAAUUGGUCGGCAGCAUCCUCUUGAACUUCUUCAGCAGCAUCCUUCUUUUUGUUUUUGUUUGAUUUCUUUGCAGUGACUUUGGCUUUCUUUUUUAUCUUGUUUCUUCUCACCGCAACACCUACUUUCUCUUUCUUAGCUUCCAUCUUUCUUUUCUUGGUUAAAUCUUCAACUGAGGGUCCUCGAAGUCAUCAUCACUGUUUUCUUUGGUUGCAUAAAUGUUUCUUCUUUUUCCUACAACUGCAUUAUCAAUAUGCAAUUCAAUUUUAGUCAAUUUAGUUAAUAAGAUAUUGCACAGUAGCAAAAGAUACAUAAGCACAUUUACAGUAACAUAUUCUUACUUCUAUUUCUUCAACUUUCAUUUUCUCUAGUUUUUUGGUGAAUUAUGGUAGAUUCCAUUUUGCGCACCCUGGCAUCAUUUCUUCUCUGCCGUCAAUCUCUAUAAGUAAUGCACUUCUCUCGCAUAUCCAGUACUAAAACAAAACCAAACAGAUAUAAGUAACACACAGAAAAACAAAAAAUGAAUUGCAUAGUAGUAGUAGCAGUAGUGAAGUUACCGGAAUUAGUGUCGUACACCCACUUAUUUGAGUUGCUUGUCCAUUUUUGGCAAUAUUCAAACAGAAAAGAAGGUAGUCUCUCACACCUUUCGCCCAGUUAUACUUGUUCAUGGUUUCCAUAUCCUCUAUGCACUUAACGAAGCUCCAUCCUAAUUUCGAUCCAGCGCUUGCAAACAGUUGCGUGAUGAAUAGAUGUAGUAUCAUUAAUAUUUCAAUAUUCUCUAUCCGUUCCGGAGAUUCGUCAUUGUCUAGCUCAGCAUCAAUACAACUCAUUUUCUUUGCUCUUUCAAUCCUUUUUUCUUCGGCAAAAAACCUUUGAACAAUAGGAUUAUCAGUUGGCUUCCUUGAACCAUCUUUUGGGUUUGGCACUGUGAGGCCUGCCCAUAGGCAAUCCCAAAAUGUAAUGCACAUCAGACACUGAUAUUUCAGCCAAAUGUUUCCCAAACCUGAACUUCUUCAGAGACGUGUCAUAGCAUUGAACUAUUCUAUGCACAUCUUUAUCCGACUUUUCAGCUGUGGCCUUUUUCAUCAAUCCCUUAUCAUAUAGUGCAAUCAGGUUCCAAAAUGGCGUCUUCCUCAACACUUCUCUCAAUAGCAUUCUUUCUUUGGUUUUCAGCUUCCCAUAUAUCUUAAAAACCAGGUCUUGGAAAGCAGUCAUAUUGCACUUGUAUUGGCUAUUUGAUUGUUCUUUUUCAAAACGUGCUGGAGCUUUGAUUCUCUUUAGUCCUUUUUGCAACUGCAGACAGUAGCAUAUUCAUAUUCUCACAUUCCAAAACACACAAACAUUCCAAGUAAAUGCAGUAGUUGAAAUUAAAUCAACAAAUUGCACAAUUCAUAACAACAAACACUUGCUCAAACAGUAGCAUAGUAGUAGCAUAGAACUAAUAUGUGUAGCCUGGACUCGAUCCAGAAAGCCAGAACUAGUUGCAUAGAAAUAAAUCAUACAGUAGGUAAUAAAUAUAUCCUUCGUCAAGCAUGGUUGCAUUUGAUCACGCCCCUACUACAUGAACAUAUCAUAAUAGAUAAUAUCAUCUAAAGAACUUGGUCACUAGAUCUCAUGUUACUCAUUUGCACAAGUUGCUUGCACUUGUUCUCCAAGUUUCAAGCCAUAACAACAAAAGAACUUAUGACUUCUGUGCCUCAAAACUCACAGACUCACAACCACCAGUCUCCAAAACUAUUCACACACACAACACCACAACAAGUCUUGAGGCUACAUGAGUCCACAAAAUUAUGAAGACAUGCAUAGACUCAUGAAGAACAAAGUAGAAGAAACAACAUAUUCCAAGUUUCGACACUAUAAACAACAUCAAUAGUAUAAUUACAACCAAUUUUCAGACAGUAGCAUUUUGCACCUGCAGACAGUAGCACAUUUAUAUUCUCACAUUCUCAAAUUCAAAACACACAAACAUUCCAAGUUAAUGCAGUAGCAACUACAAAUUAAAUGCACAUUCAUACAUAAUUACCUUGUUGUUUUUGUCCAUAUCCUUGUGUACGAAAGCUGCUAUUGUCCUGUAAAAUGUGAAAAUCACACCAAUAGAGCAUGCUUCCCCACCUUCAACACAAUUACAUUCAUAAAAUCAUUAGAGCCUGCUACUUCCAUAAAUCAAAUUGUACUGCUACUUCCAUAAAACGAAAGAUGCUACUGAUUUUCUCCCAAUCAAAGCAAAAUUAGAGGAAUCGUUUCGAUAUUGAAGGAAACAAGGUUACUGCUACUGGUUUUCUCCCAAAAACGAAACCAAAGACCAAAAACGAACCAGAACAGUAGCAGAGAGAGAAAGAAGAGCAGUAGCAUCACUUACCAGAGGAUGAAGGCGAGAAAACUCUAGGUGCGGUGAGAGGAGACGGAAGAAAGGAGACGCUGUGUUUGCUACUGAACCAGAAUUAGGAAUUUCGGUGAGAGGAGAAGGCGAGAAAAGAAAUUGAACCAGAACUGUAACAGAGAGAGAAAAAGAGCAAUAGCAUCACUUACCAGAGGAAUUGCAGAGAGAGGAUAAAGAAGAUGAAGGCGAGAAAACCCUAGGCGCGGUGAGAGGAGACGGAAGGAAGGAGACGCUGCGUUUGCUACUAAACCAGAAUUGGGAUUUUCGGAUCCUUUAUGCGUAGUGGCAUCUAUGUAAUUAAAAAAAACGCUACGGUUUUUAGGUCAUUUGCAAACGCGUUUGUGGAUCAGGCCUGGUGCCAUGGACUAUGGGCCCGAGGCUCAUGUAAUCUGUUAGAAAAUUAUUGGAAAUGGGAUUUUUGUGAUUCUAAAUUUGGUCAUGUGCUACUCUGUAAUUUCUUUUAUAUUUUAUCGAACGUUUGUCUUGUAUGACUGGGAUUACAUGUAUUAUGGACCCAAAAAUGAAUGGUUGAGAUUGAUUCUUACUAAUAAAAUAUUCGUCAAUGAAUAUUAACCGUGGGCAACCGAAUCCGUUUCGGGAUUCAUAAUAGCAGAUUAGCAGGCUAGCAGCUAUCUCAUCAUGCAUACAAUGUUUUUCUUUUUUAACAAGGAAUUAAGAAUGGCUUAAACACAACAUGUUUUUCUUUAAUGAUAAAAAAAAAAAAAGAUAAACUUGAUGAAGUGAAAUAGGUUUAAGAAUAGAGAAUCGUGAAAGAUGUGUGUAUUAUUCAUUGAUAAGACCCCUUUAUAUAGGGAAUUACACAAUACCAAUAAGGUAAGGAUAUGAAUACAUAGAUCUAGUCAAACUACAUAUCCUAAUGGCAUAAGGCCAAGGCACACAUAAAGAAUAUCCUAGAACACUCCCCCUUGUACCGCGUGCUGAUAUGCCAAUGGUGCUGAUCUGUUGCCUCGUCAAAAACCUAGUCAAGUCACAAAAACCUUGUGGGAGAAAACUGAACCUUGAUCGUAGGAGAAAAAGAGUACAACGUACCAGCCUACUUCAUUGAGAUGAUACUCCCCCUGAUGUGAACAUUAUACAGAGAGACUUGAUAGCCGACGCAUGCCUAUACUUUUCACAUGUUUCUCAAAAGUAGACUUAGGUAAGGACUUAGUAAAUAAGUCUGCUGUGUUUCCUUAUGAAGUAAUCUGAUUCACUUGAAUGCUAAGGAACGCCUGUUGCUGUUGGUUGUAGAAGAACUUAGGUGAAAUGUGCUUUGUAUUAUCACCCUUGAUGUAACCUAACUUCAUUUGCUCAAUACAAGUUGCAUUGUCCUCAUAAAUGCAUGUAGGUUUAUCAGUUGUAGAAUUUAAUCCACUAGUCCCUCUAAUGUGUUUAAUGAUUGACCUUAACCAAACACAUUCCCGAACAGCUUCAUGCAAAGCUAUAAUCUCUGCAUGAUUUGAAGAUGUCGCCACUAGAGUCUGCUUUGUAGACCUCCAAGAUAUCGCCGUAUUCCCAAUGGUGAAUACAUAACCAAUUUGAGAACGUCCUUUAUGAGGACCGGAUAAAUAUCCGGCAUCGGUGAAACCCACCAAUGUAUUAUUUGGUGUCUCGGCAUAGGACAAGGCGGCGGUGGCGUGCUCGGCAUUGGACCCGUGUCCAGCAGCCGUGCCGACGGCGUCCAUGGCGGCGAUCCGGUCCCUUGGUGGAUCGGUGCCGUGUCUUCCAUGAGCCAUAGGACCAUCUUCUAUCCUUGAAUUAGUGUAGGGAAAGAACAGUCCCAAGUCAAUGGUACCCUUAAGGUAUCGAAAGAUGUUCUUGACACCGAUCCAAUGACGUUGGGUUGGCACUGAGCUAAAUCUAGCUAACAAGUUGACUGAGAAUGCAAUGUCUGGUCGAGUGCAUUGAGCUAAGUACAAUAACGCGCCUAUUUCACUAAGGUAUGGAACCUCUGCGCCCAAGACCUCUUCGUUGUCCUCUUUCGGACGGAAUGGAUCCUUAGAUAUAUUCAGACUUCGACCAAUCAUGGGAGUGCUAACAGGGUGCAUCUUGUCCAUAUUAAAUCGCCUGAGCAUCUUUUGGACAUAUGUAGACUGGUGGAUAAGAAUUCCACAAACUCGGUGCUCUAGUUCAAGACCUAAGCAAAAUUGAGUCUUCCUAAGAUCUUUCAUCUCAAACUCGGAUUUCAGAUAAGCCGCGGUCUCUUUGAUUUCAUCAAGAGUACCGAUAACAUUUAUGUCAUCGACAUAGACGGCCACUAUUGCAAAUCCGGAACUUGUCAUCUUUAUGAACACGCACGGGCAUAGUUCAUCGUUCUUAUAUCCCUCCCUAAUCAAGUAGUCACUUAGACGAGUAUACCACAUUCGUCCAGAUUGCUUUAAUCCGUAAAGUGAGCGUUGCAACCUUAUAGCAUACGCACUCCGUGGUUUAGAGUCACUUGAUUUAGGAAACGUAAUGCCAUCAGGCACUUUCAUAUAUAUCUCUGAAUCUAGAUCCCCAUAGAGAUAUGCCGUAACCACAUCCAUGAGCUGCAUGUCAAGUUUUUCGGACACUACCAACUGACUAAGUAGCGGAAAGUUAUGACGUCCAUGACCGGAGAGUAAGUCUCUUCGUAAUCAAUCCCAGGGCGUUGUGAGAAACCUUGCGCCACAAGGUGGGCCUUAUACCGAAGUACCUCAUUCUUCUCAUUACGCUUUCUAACAAAGACCCAUUUAUGUCCAACAGGCUUUACACUCGGCGGAGUUAGCACUACUGGGCCGAAGACCUGUCUCUUUGAUAGAGAGUCUAAUUCUGCCUGGAUUGCAACUUUCCAUUUAGGCCAAUCUGCUCUGCUUUGGCAUUCUGCAACAGAGCGUGGUUCGAUGUCAUCGUGCUCAAUGAUUUCAUGAGCCACGAAAUAAGCAAAUAUAUCAUCGACACGGGUUGAUGACCGGUUCAUCAAUUCAUAAGUGUUAUCAUAACACAUGGAGAUCUCUAUGUUCUCUGAUGUUGACAUUGACCCUGAGGCGUCCCUCAUGGAUUCUAACAUCAAUUCGUGGACAUAACUGUAAUAAAAGAUGAUCUCGUGAGAAGGAUUCUCAACAUCGAUGAUCAAAGGAUUGACUCGUGCCUUGUCGGUCCGUUUCUUUCUCGGACGUGUGUCAACCGAACCAGGUGGCCUCCCCCUUUUCCUUUGGGGAGCCACGGCCUCCAUCCCCCCACCAUGGGUGGCGCCGGCGCCGGCGGCAAUACUCAGCCCAGGGAUGGCCGUGCCCUUUCUAGGGACUUCGAACCUAGCAGGAACAUUUGCAGCUGGUAUAUCUGAUCUUGUCACUUUCGCAAUCUCGGAGAAAGAGUCAAGCAUCGUAUCUGCUACUUUCUGAAGUUCGAGAAUACGUUUCACUUCACUUUCAGUUUGUGAGGUGCGGGGAUCAUAAUGAGACAAAGUGGGGACAAACCACGACAAUUCCUGUCGUUCCACAUGAACACGUUUGUUCGUAUCUCCCCCUAACGACGGGAAGAAUGUCUCAUCAAAGUGACAAUCCGCAAACCGUGCGGUAAAGAGAUCACCUGUUAAUGGCUCAAGGUAUCUGAUAAUCGUUGAAGAUUCAUAACCAACGUAGAUACCUAAUCGUCUCUGAGGACCCAUCUUAGAACGCAGUGGAGGCGUAAUUGGCACAUAAACCGAACAACCGAAAAUGCGUAGAUGCGAAAUGUCAGGCUCAUAUCCAGUGACCAACUGGUAUGCACUAAAUGGUUGCUUAGCAGUGGGUCUGAAACGAAUAAGUAAGGCUGCAUGCAAUAUUGCAUAGCCCCAUGACGCAAUAGGGAGGUUGGUGCGCAUUACCAACGCUCAAGCAAUGAGCUGAAGCCGCUUAAUUGUAGCUUCGGCGAGACCGUUUUGCGUGUGAACAUGAGGUACGAGAUGUUCAACCUCAAUCCCGAUAGACAUGCAAUAGUCAUCAAAAGUCUUUGAUGUAAAUUCUUCAGCGUUAUCCAGUCGAAUUGACUUAAUUAGAUAAUCCGGGUGGUGAGCCCGAAGUUUAAUAAUCUGUGCUAGGAGUUUUGAAAAUGCAGCAUUAUGUGUGGACAAGAGCGCAACAUGAGUCCAACGCGUUGAAGCAUCCACCAGGACCAUAAAGUAUCGAAAUGGUCCACAUUCAGGAUGGAUAGGUCCACAAAUAUCACCUUGGAUACGAUGUAAAAAUUGAAUGUUCUCGGUAUUAUCUUUAGCGUAAGACGGUCUCGAUACUACUUUCGCUAAAGAGCAAGCUUUGCAAAACGAACGAUGAGAGUUGGAAAGAGUCAACGACACAUCAAGGGAAGAACGGCGCGCCUCAAUUGCUUGAGGGGUCGACCGAGUGGCAGCCAGGAAGUUGGUGCCUAGCCCGGGAGACGUCAAAGUCCCCUUUGGGCCGUGAUGGCCAUUUGUGGCGUCACCAUUAUGAUGCAAAGAUCCCAAAUGUUUUCGUUUUGAUCUAAAGAAGGGAUGUCCAUGAGAAUUAUGCAGAAUUCGGAUCAUCAUGUCCCUUCCGGGAUGACCAAGUCGAUCAUGCCAAAGCUUGUAUGAGUCAGAGUCCCAAAGAUCCUGUUUGGCGACUACAUGGGAUUCAAUAAUCCAAAUCGUAGUAAGGUAAAGACCACUAGAUUGACUCAUAAGUUUCUCCAAUAUACGUUUACGUCCGUAAUCAUGAGAAGUAAUACAUAAGAACUCAGUUCCAUCUUCACAAUGAGUUUCCAAGUGAAAGCCAUUAGCGCGAAUGUCCUUAAAGCUCAACAAGGUUCGGUGCCCUUUUGGGGCAUAGAGAGCGUCCGUUACAUGGAUCAUAGUGCCAUGAGGCAGAAAAAAACGAGCGGUUCCACGCCCGAGGAUCACAGGAGAAGAUCCAAUCAUUGUCGUCACAGAUGAUUUACAUGGCACUAACUCAAUAAAUAGUUACCGGUUCCUUAGAAUGGUGUGGGUUGAACCAUUAUCUGCGAGGCACUCGAUCUCUCCAAGAGACAUACCUACAAAAUAGAGUAGAUAUAUGAGUAAAUAGGUCAAUAUCGAGCCAUUUAGAAGGAUUGAAAAAGCUAAAAGUAGCAACAAUCCCGAGAGUGCUGAAAAUUUUUCGCGCAGAAUGACCUUUGCGCACUAAAACAGUCAUAACUCCUUCGUUAAAAUAGAUAUGGACAAACCCCGCAAAAUGUUCUGAAAACUAGACUCGUAGAGCUUUCCAAUGAUAUAAAGCUCACUGUCUAGUUCGUCCGGAGCUGCUCACAAAGCUCAAACGAAGUGACUGUCCAGGGAGGACAGAUUACUGUUUUUUGCAGAUUUGGCAUUAGCGAAGCUUUUGAAGCUUGCCGGUGGCAUGGAGGCGUAUGCUCGGCCACAGGGACGUGUUGAUGAUCAAAUCCUGGUCCUGAGAACCUAGAGGAUUCGAUGAUGGUCCGGUUGUGCCAAGUCUUUAACGUCUUUUACAAGACGGCAAUUGGAGUAAUAGCGUAAAGGGAAUCCAAAAUCAAAAGCUUUCGGUAGCUCCAAAUUAAGUAUGACCAGACAUGUCCGUGGAGGGUUGGUAGUGCGAGACACACUUAAACCACUAGCUCCUUAAUUUCGGACAAUUCUAAGACAUCAUACUAACUUGGAUGAGCCUAGUUGAACAAUUGAUGAUGGAAAAUCCGCUAUAGGGGAAAAGACUUGAACCGAAAAACACGUUAGUAACCCUCCUUGAGAGUCACGGCGUUGAUGCCAUGUAGAUGUAAAUCAAUUCGAACCAAAUAGAGACAAGAAGAACCAAAAUGAAAACUUUCAUUAAUGCGCUGAAAAGAGUACAUAAGGGUCUCAAAAAAAAAAUUAGAGAAGAAAACUAAGCAUGGCAUGCUAACGAUGCCUUAUUACAUCAUGACUUGUAAAAGAGAAAACAAUCUUAGCCGGUGACAUCAAAGUCAGGGGCAUGUAAGUCAGAACAUUGUCCAUUGGGGUCUGCGACCUUGAAGGUAACAUUAUGUUCAACUCCAUUGUUUUCAAUGGAAUUGACUUCCAUCAAUUCCUUGUAUUUCUUGUAUGCGGCAACAACAUUUGCAGAAGCGCAACAGCUUUUAUACUAGUGGUCCUUGGACCCACAUCUGUUGCAUUGACCGUCAAAGGCAGAAGAAGAGCGAACUUGCUGCUUCCGAGGAGGAGCGGCACCGGUGUCUCGACGCCAAGUGUUGGUUCGGCCACUAAAGCCACUACCUUGUCCCCGAGAAUCAGAGGCACGGUGGUACUGAGUCCCACGUGCAUAAGGUUCAUUCCGAUGUUGAUCCUUGCGUUUCGGAGCUUUCUGACUCCGCUUGCUGUUGUAAUUAGAUUCCGGAAUUUUUCGAGUGCCUACAAGAUGCAAAUUAUGCUGAUCAUUGAUCAUGUUAUUCUUUUCUUCCAUAAGGAGUUGCGUCAUUAAGCCGCUAAAUGUAGUAAUCCUCUUAUUUGUGAACUCAAGCCGAUAUUGGUUCAUAAGGAUCUUAGCAGCUGAAGGGAAGGUCGAGAAAGUUUUUUCGAUCAUGUCGGCAUCACUUUUCUCGACUCCACAUGAGCUCAGUUGAGCUUGUAGGCAAAGCAUAUCCCUGUUAAAGUCAUCAACCUUCUUGUAAUCCAAAAGUCGGAUUUCAUCCCAGCGAGCAAUUAGUUCUGGGAGCAAGGUCGAGUGAAUGUUGCUGAAGCGUUCGGCAAGGGCAUCCCACAGAUCUUUUGGAUCGUGCUUUGAUUGAUACUGUCUGCGCAGUGUGGGAUCGAUAUGCUUACGAAGGAACAUGAGCGCCAGAGAUUUAGUUCUCUUAUGAGGCGGUUCCUGAGCUGGAUCGGGGAAGAUGGUCUCGGUCAGAUCCUUAGCGAUGAAGGUCUGCUCUAUGUCCGAGACCCAGCGAUGGUACUCGGUACCAUGGGCGUCAAGGACGUCGAAUUCAAUGCCUCUGUCCAUCUGCAUACAAGAGAGAACAAGUCGUAUUAGUUUUCUGUUAGAGACCCUAAAAAGGAUACUCAAAUACGAUGCUUUUGGUUUGUCUCUCUAGGGUUGAUCAAACACAACCCUAAACGUCCGGAGUCGAUCAAACACGACCCGGAAAACUUGUGUGAAGGUGAUCAAACACACCUUCAAAAUAGCAAUAACCAAAGUUGAUCAAACACAACUUUGGACCCGGGGAGGACAACCGGGAUUUGUAAACCUGCAAAUACACCGACCCAAGCAUGGAAUGGAGUAGAAGAAGAGGAGAAAGCACUUUAUCUCCCCCGAGGUUAUUAAACUUUGAAGAGUUUUAGGGUUGUAAAGAAAACAUACCGUAAAACUUGAAUGCUUGAUCGAAUGAGAGAGAAAGCAGUGGAGCGGACGACCGGGAAGCGGCAGUCGGAGGGCGACGGCGGCGGUGGCAGCAGCGGUGGCGGCCGAAGCAGGGCCGAAAGUCUUCGGCUUUGGUUUUAGGGUUUGGAAAAAAUAUUAGCUCAAGGGUUGAGUAAAGGGCUAAUAACGUGAUGAAGUGAAAUAGGUUUAAGAAUAGAGAAUCGUGAAAGAUGUGUGUAUUAUUCAUUGAUAAGAGCCCUUUAUAUAGGGAAUUACACAAUACCAAUAAGGUAAGGAUAUGAAUACAUAGAUCUAGUCAAACUACAUAUCCUAAUGGCAUAAGACCAAGGCACACAUAAAGAAUAUCCUAGAACAAAACCAAAAUAUAAACCAAAAAAAAAAAAAAUGAAAACAAACUAUAAAACACGUAUAAAUACUCAAGCACAAUAUAAAAUUUUUGGAUUAAAUACUCGAGCACAAUAUAAAAUUUUUGGAUUGACCGCAAAAGAUCAAAUACUCAAAUCAAUAGAUUUUCCAGUCUUUUUACAAAUUUCAAAUGCAUCGAACUUGGAUACACACUUUCAACAAGGUAUUAGAUCCAACAUCAAACUUGCUUGAAUCACCUAAAACAUGAUACAAGCUUAACUAUUUAUUACAUGACAAUACAAACAAAACUUAUAUAUAGUCUUAUACUAAUCUCACAACAAUAGACAGAAUUCAAAAUCUAAAGACACCAGCAAACCCAGGAAAAAUACUGACCGUACUCUUCACCACAGCCCCAACACCAAACCAAAGGACAGUCACAUGAAAAGCACCCGAACCAAAAAAGAAUGAAAAUAUGUACCCCCCAAAAGUGCAUUUUAUUCUUUGAUUUUCUUAUCUUAUCAAGUCUUCCUUUGCCAACGAGCCAUUCUCACUGCGAUGGCCAAUUCUGUCCUCUCUUGUAUGUUAUCAAAGAAACGGAAAUAGGCAUACCUCCAUGAUUUCUUCAUAACCAAUGAGCCACAAACACUCCAAAACCCUAUGAUGAAGCCGAGUGCACCGCUAACAUACAUACCAAACUUCCGAUUCUCAUCAUCAUCAUCAUCAUUAUGAUCAUCAUCGUCAGGUUCAGCUGGUGCGGGUGCGGCGUCUCCCGGGCAGAGAGUUGAAAGAGGAACCCCACACAAGGAUGGAUUGCUCUCGUAAAUGGAUGAAUCAUUGAGUGUUUGAAGUUGGUUACCUGAAGGAAUUCUUCCGGACAAGUUGUUGUCAGACAAGUUCAAGUGAGACAAAGAGGUUAAUGAAGAGAGACUGUGUGGAAUAUGUCCGGAGAGGUGAUUGUGCGAGAGAUCAAGAGUUUCAAGCCAUCUCAACUUUCCAAUCUUUAAGGGAAUGUUUCCGGUUAGAUGAUUACGGACAAGUUCAAUGUCCCCAAGGCAAUGAGGCUGCUUAUACCUUCAGGGAUUUCGCUAUCUAAGUGAUUUGAUGAGAAAUCAAUGGUAUUCACCAAAGGCAGAGUCUUGUUAUACACCAGUUCUUGUCCCUUCAAUGUCAAGGUGGUAGCCUCAUGAUAAUCAGAAAAAGAGGAGGGAGAGCUGCUUAGCCUCAUGAAUGGACCCAUUCAUAAGAUUCCACCAGCAAAAAGGCACCCAAGUAGUACAGAAACUGCUUCAUGAACUGCUCUUGGUCCUAAACUCCUUAACUUCACGCCAUCACGCAACAUUUCAUCAAAACAAAAAAUCAGUAAAAAGUUUCCUACUUGAUCACAAUUUCACAGCAAUAGAGAAAGAGAGAGGGAGUGACUGGCGAGGGCAUUGUAGAAGUCACGGCCGAGGAAAUUGAAGCCGACGCUGAUUCCGGUGGUGGCGAGAGUGAGAAGGAACACUCCGCCGAGCUGCAUCCUCGCCUGGACUUUGUCAUCGGAGGACCAGUACGGCGCCGCCACCUUCCAGAAUCUCCGGAGCAGUAGAGAUUGGAGGGUUAUGCGGUGAAGGAGUGUUGGGGUUGAAUAUCUUGGGUUAGAUGAUAAGAUGAGUUCUUUUCUGGGUUUCGAGGGAUCUGGAGAGAGGGGGUGGUUGGUAGGGGAGGGUGAGUCAACUCGGCGAGUCGGUGAACGUGAAUUUACCUCUUUUACCUCCAUGACUUUUUCUAUUUUUUUUAUUCAACGUCUGUCUUGUACGGCUGGGAUUACAUGUAUUAUAUAUGGACUCAUAAAUGAAUGGCUGAGACUGAUUCUUACUAAUAAAAUAUUCGUAAGUGAAUAUUAACCGUGGGAACCGAAUCCGUUUCGGGAUUCAUAAUAGCAGAUUAGCAGGCUAGCAGCUAUCUCACCAUGCAUACAAUGUUUUUCUUUUUUAACAAGGAAUUAAGAAUGCUUGAACACAACAUGUUUUUCUUUAAUGAUGAAACAAAAUAUGAAAAAAACUAUAAAACACGUACAAAUACUCGAGCACAAUAUAUAAAUUUUUGGAUUGACCGAAUAAGAUCAAAUACUCAAAUCAAUAGAUUUUCCAAGUCGUUUUACAAGUUUCAAAUGCAUCGAACUUGGAUACACACUUUCAAUAAGGUAUUAGAUCCAACAUAAAACUUGCUUGAAUCAUCUAAAACAUGAUACAUGUUUAACUAUUUAUUACUUUAUUACAUGGCAAUACAAACCAAACUUAUAUAUAGUCUAAUACUAAUCUCACAACAAUAGACAGAAUUCAAAGACACCAGCAAACCCAGGAAAAAUACUGGCCGUACUCUUCAUCACAGCCCCAGCACCAAAGGGCAGUCACAUGAAAAGCACCCGAACCAAAAGAGAAUGAAACAAUGUACCCCUCUUAUCUUAUCAAGUCUUCCUUUGCCAACGAGCCACUCUCACUGCGAUGACCAAUUCUGCUCUCUCUUGUAUUUUGUCGAAGAAUCGGAAAUAGGCAUACCUCCAUGAUUUCUUCAUAACCAAUGUGCCACAAACACUCCAAAACCCUAUGAUGAAGCCGAGCGCACCGCUAACAUACAUACCAAACUUCCGAUUCUCAUCAUCAUCAUCAUCAUCAUCAUUAUGAUCAUCAUCGUCAGAGUCAGCUGGUGCAAGUGCGGCGUCUCCCGGGCAGAGAGUUGAAAGAGGAACCCCACACAAGGAUGGAUUGCUCUCGUAAAUGGAUGAAUCAUUGAGUGUUUGAAGUUGGUUACCUGAAGGAAUUCUUCCGGACAAGUUGUUGUGAGACAAGUCCAAGUGAGACAAAGAGGUUAAUGAAGAGACACUGUGUGGAAUAUGUCCGGAGAGGUGAUUGUGCGAGAGAUCAAGAGUUUCUAGCCAUCGCAAGUUUCCAAUCUUUAAGGGAAUGUUUCCGGUUAGAUGAUUUCUGGACAAGUUCAACGUCCCCAAGGCAAUAAGGCUGCUUAUACCNNNNNNNNNNNNNNNNNNNNAACGAGUUCGAUCGCAAUUGGAUCCUACGUAAGUUGCAUGACAAAGGUGAUCUUGUCUGUAGAGGUAGAGGUAUGCCUCCUGUAAAUUUAUUUCCUGCAAGAUCAAUACUCACCAACUCUGUGCAAUUUUGGAAUAAGGAAGAAGGAAUUUGACCCGUGAAAUUGUUGUUGCUCAGAUUCAAUACCCAUAGUGAGCUCGGGACACCCAUUGAACUGGUGAUAUUGCCGGUCAAAUCGUUGUAUGAGACAUCUACAGCUUGUAUAUAUGGCCACGUACUCCAUGCUCGAGAGAAGUCUCCAGACAAGUGAUUGCUUCUUAAAAUAAGGAAUCUCAAACUUGACAUGUUGCAUAAAGAGGGUGGUAUACUACCACUCAGGUUAUUGUCAGAAAGAGACAAUUCUUCCAAAUUAGGCAACAGUUGAUCAUAGUUUGAGGGAAUUGGCCCGGAAAAAGAGUUGCUUCGAAGAUCGAGAUAGGAGGCAGGACUAGACCAUUGUGGCAGAGGGCCCUCAAAUUCAUUAUGAUUCAGAUCUAUAUAAUACAAAGAUGGGGAGUUCAUGUGAAAUGGAAGCUUUCCACGGAUUUGGUUGUUGGACAAAUCCACACAUGUGAGUUUGGAAGAUAUCGUCAAGAACCAUUCCUCUGGUAUGGAGUCUGAUAUUCCAGUAUUUCUGAGCCUGAGAUGCGUUAAUUCAGUUUGAGAUCGAAGCCACAUCCCAAAGGCAGGACCUACUCUGCAGUUAACAAUGUCGAGUGAAUCAAGCUGGAAAGGAGGAACCCAGUCAUGAGCCACAUUCAAACUGAGGGAGAAAGGUUGCUGUGUGCUUAUACCAAAAGUCUCUAACUUGGUGAGAGUUCGGAAAUGGACUUCUGUUAAAAUGCCUUCCCACGAAUUCAAAGAUAGAUCUAGGUGAACUAGCUGAGAGAGUUGUCCCAAACUUGCAGGAAUGGACCCAUUCAUAUGAUUCGAAGAUAGAUCUAGGUGAACUAGCUGAGAGAGUUGUCCCAAACUUGCAGGAAUGGACCCAUUGAUAUCAUUCGAAGAUAGAUCUAGGUGAACUAGCUGAGAGAGUUGUCCCAAACUUGCAGGAAUGGACCCAUUCAUAUCAUUCCAAGAGAUGGCCAGUUUUUCCAAGGAUGAUAAAUUACCAAUAAAUUCUGGAAUUGAACCAUAAAAUUUGUUUACACUAAGGUCAAGUUCCUUCAGAUUUUCUAGCACUCCUAAGGCGGCAGGCAGUUCACCUUCUAUCUGAUUGAUGGACAAAUCAAGCGACUCUAGUCUGUGACUUGUGCAGUUUGAGAAGCCAUUCAAAACCUCUUCCAAACCACCACUGAACGAGUUUUCAGAAAGAUCUAAUAUCCUUAGGCUGCACAAUCUACCAAAGACUUUGGGAAUUUGACCUUGGGCAGAAUUGCCCCAUAAAUUAAAGUCUUCCAAAGACUUGAGGUUUGCAAGUUCAACAGGGAUGGGACCGAACAAAUUGCCAGAUGCAUCAAGUUUUUUGAGGUUGGUAAGAUUUAAAAACCAGCUGGGAAAUGAAGAAUUAAUAUCAUUGAAUGAUAUAUCAAGAACCAAUAGGGAUGUGAAGUUUACUGAUUGCAGCUGCUGGGAGUGUGGAAGCUUUUGAAUUUGGCAACUAGUCAGAUGCAAUUCUAAGAGUGAAGGAAGCAUGUUGACAUCAUGUAGCCAACUUACUCCUGUGCUGCUGAGGUUCACAUAUCUAAGAUUGAGGUACUUUAGGGAAGAGAGAUGAGAAAGCCAAUUCAAGUUAUUGGAAGAAUAACCUUCAUAGUAGUAAUUAGUAUUGAGGUCAAGAUAGUUCAAGUUUGAGAGGUUACCAAGAGCUGGGGGAAUCUCUCCCUUAAAUGAAGCAGAGGAGAGAUUAAGAUACCUCAAACUUGUAAGCUUCCCAAAGAAAUCAGGAAUUCGGAGUCCUCCAAAAUCAUUUCCGCUUAGGUCAAGGCUAUACAACUUCUUUAAGCUAAGCAAAGAAGGAUUGAUGUUACCCCCCAAAGAAGUAUUCCCGUUGAGUGGAUCAUAAUUCGGGUUCCGGAGGUCCAUCUUUGCAACGUGGCCUGUACGGUUGUUGCAUGAAAUCCCUUUCCAUCGACAGCAAUCUAGACCCACCCAAGAUAAAAGCCUGCCGGAACUAUCAUUAACAUCUGCUUUGAAGCUGAGAAGAGCUCGUCUCUCUUCCUCGAUGCAUGAUGCACUCGGAAGUCCAUCACCCAAACACAGUUGAGUAGUACCGUGCAGAUGUGAAGAUGCCAGAAAAAGAAAGAGCAAGUAGUGAGCAAUAAUUUUGAUGAGGAAGCCGUAGCUGGUAGGCUUGAAUAGGCUUGCACACAAGCUAUCCAUGAUUAUACAAAUAUUUUCUUCAACUUUGUGAUAUGUAUAGAAAUAAUAGAAUUCUAAACCGAAUUUAAUGUUGUACCGAAUAGUCUGAAAUGAAUUGGUGUCCAGGUAUUCUAAAGUCAUCCAAUUUAAUGCUGAAGGAAUCGAUACUGGAACUGAACAUGACAUCUCCAUCAAGUAGCGAGAAUUACAAACACCAGUUUAUCUGGUUAAGUUUGAUAAGCGAAGGCAGAUGGAUUAGCAACUCUAAGUUAAAACCAGCAACUGAAGGCAGCAACAGGUGGAUUGAUAUCUGCCCAAAAACUUAGCAAUUAAAUUCUGAUGCACACAAUUGGUUAGACCACAUGUAAAUAAACUCUAGAAUCUUGAGAAACAUAAUCUUAAAUAUAUACCAUAUCUAUCAGGGUGGUUGUACCGGCAAGUGGCCCCAUACUUGCAACUGAUUUAAUAAAACAAAAGCCAUUGUGACUUCUCGGUCAUCUAUAGUAAUCAUAUUCUAACAACAAAAGAAGACAUAACUGACCUUCCAGUCUUCAGGUAGAAUGGACAAUCAGCUUCACCCUGGUAGAAACAACAGACACAUGAUCAGCAAAGCAAUAUUAUCAUGAAGCUGAUACUGCAAUUUUGAAGAGGCUCAAUCAUCUGUACUAGUACAUACUGGUCUCACAGGAAGCUCUUAGGAAUUAUAUAAUAGUGCUGGAGUGAAUGAAACAAGAGGCUUCACAGCAACUUCACUGCUCUCCGUCUUAAGAGCUGUCUCAGUUUCGGCAGAUUUAUUCUCUUGAGUGGUUGAUGGUAUCUGGAUGUCUUUUGGGUGAUUAAAUUUGCAGGUUGCACCAUACUUGCAUUGCCCAGUUUUCAAGUAGAACUGUGUAGAUUUAUUUUUUGGUCCAAAUCAACAUAUUUUAUAGAUAGAUAAUACACAUUACAAAAGUAUGGGAUAGAUAUCUCACUGCACAUGGGGGUUCAGAAGGCCUCUCAGGUAGGGCAUUAACAUCACCAUUUUCCGAAGCACCCUGAAACCAGAGUAUGGUAUCAUAUCAUUAUAACUACAGUGAGCAAGUCUGGAUAAUAAUUAAAUCUUGGCAUCCUAAUACUUACCGCAGUAGCCAGUUUGUCCUUUGGAUGAUUAAACUUGCAUUUAAGACCAAACUUGCAUCUUUGAGUUUUCAGAAAGUACUACGAGAUAUAGAAUGGCAGGGUAUAUGUGAGCUGUUUAACUGUUUAAGUCCUUAAACACAUUAUAUAGAUAAAAAAGAAUAAAAAAAUGCUACUCACUGGACAAUCUGGCGCUCCAGGUCUUUCAGGAAGGGACUCACUUGGAGCAGCAAGUGGAACCUAAAUGAACAAGAGAUCAAUUAUGUAUUUUAGCAAUAUAUCUUCAUUGGUUCUUUUGCCACAACUAAUAAGCAAACUGGAAAUAGCACACAAAGAACAAAAACAGUUGCAAACCAUUUUCUAAGCUUAACAGAUAGUCAAUGAAGAAUUGAAGAUGGUACAAAUAGGCAGAAACCAAACACUAAGUAGACCAGCCUAAUUACUUGCCAGAAAACAAAAUAAAAAAUUAUAAAGUUGAGCUACUACCACAACAGAAGGCUCGUCUAAACAUGUACGUAUGUAGGUUAACCAUCAGAUGGAAACUCAGCUUACAUGGAAUAACCCUAUGUAUAGGGAUGAAAUGGAACAUAGGCUUAAUGAAGAAACUAUUAUACUCUUGUUAUCACACAAUUGAUAGUGAUGAAAUUGAAACCCCUUUUUUACAUUAUAUAGGUGAAGCAAAGGAAUAUGCCUACAAAGACGUUAAGCUUUUAGGCAAAACAAAAACAAAUAUUAUUGACCUACUAACCGGCUCGACGUGCAAUAUUUAUCAUCAACUAGCGAAUUGCUAAUGGUCUAAUGGAGCUUCCAAUCCUCAAUGAAUUGCCACACCCUUCACAUGACCAAUAAGGCAAUAACCAACUCAUACAUGACAAACACAUAAAGAUAAAAGCACCUUCUCCACUUGUGUACCAGUACAACCCUACAACCAAUCUGAACAGUUGAUCCAUAGCUUCAAGCCUUCAUGUUAGCUCCACAGCAUCUUGAAAAUAAAUGCAGGAUCACCUCCAAAUUACCAAAAAGCCCCUCAUGAAUUUUGAUGAGAAUGGUAUUUCAGACAGACUACCCAUGAGGAAUCUCAAAACUCAGACCUAGUGAAUAUGCAUGCAAAUCCAAAGCAAAAGGUGGGUGCAUCAAACUUAUGUCACUUGAGGGAUCUACACAACGAGACAUUCUACCAGAUAUACAAAAUCAAGACAUGGGGGGCUCUUUACCUAAGCAAUGAUCAUGAGUGAACAUCCAUCAAUUCACUCACUGAAAAAUGUCCUUAAAUAGUUAAAUAUGCUUCAGACAGUUCGUGACUAAUCAACAGAGAUCAGUCUGCUCAUAUAUAGAUAGACUUUUACAGAAAUUGAGAUGAUACUAGAUUUUCAACAGGUGUUUUUCAAAAAUAAAAAGUUAAAAAUUAACCAGAAGACAAAAUAGAUAAGUUUUAUCUCUUAAUGACCCACAGGGUAAGAGGAAUGAGUGAAUGACCUACUAUGGAAAACUAAGAAGAGUACAUAAUUUCCCAACGCUGGACUUUUUGCAGAAAAUAUAGCAGGUAUAGAAACUAUAAAACAGAUAUAGCUAUAAAAGUAAAGAAUAAGUUACAAUUCAUACUACAUAACAGUAGAUAUUAUAGGAAGCUAGAAACAUAUUCAAAUAACUCUAAAAAAAGUAUCUAUCCGUACCUUAAAAAACCAAACAGCUUACAGGAUAUGAUCAAUCCAUUCAUAAGCUUAGCGAAAUUAUAUAGAAUUGAUUAAUUAUUUUAAUAAAUGUACUUCAUAGUACUUGUAUAUAAUACGGUAAAAGUCAUAAAGCUAUAAGUAUAGGCAUAAGAUAUAAUAAUAAGCAGUCACAUCUUUCCAAUCUGGGAUUCCACCCUCAGGAACCCAAAUAGGAUGGUCAAACUUGCAGGCCUCUCCAAAUCAUACUCGGCGAUAAGCAAACUAUAAACACACAAUAUUAUACACACCCUAAAGCUAAUAGCUUUACAUAAUCAUUAGACAUAACACUCAGCAAAAUCUUAUAUUACUUUACAUAAUCACACUUCACACUUAACUAAAUCACCAAGCUAUAAACACAAUCACAUCAGUUCACAACACGAAAAGUUCGAAAACUUUAAGCAAAUUUGCAUCAAAUUCAAUUCAAAGAUUCAAACUUUCCAAUCAGCAAACAGAUAUGUACACUAGUGUGAGAGCUCACCAACCUUCAGAGGAGCGUUUGAAGCCAUUCUCUUGAUCGUAAUUCGGGUUUGGGAGGUCCAUCUUUGCAACGUGACCUGUACGGUUGCUGCAUGAAAUCCCUUUCCAUCGACAGCAAUCCAGACCCACCCAAGAUGAAAGCCUGCUGGAAGGAUCAUAAACAUCUGCUUUGAAACUGAGAAGUGCUCGUCCCUCUUCCUCGAUGCAUGAUGAUGAUCUCACACCACUCGGAAGUUCAUCUCCCAAACACACUUGAGAAGUACCGUGCAUGUAUGAAGAUGCCAGCAAAAGAAAGAGCAAGUAGCGAGCAACAUUGUUGAUGAGGAAGCCAGAGCUGGUAGGCUUGAAUAUCUUCGCACAGAAGCUAUCCAUGAUUACACACACUUUGGUUCAAACUUGUGGAAAUGUAUAAAAUUCUGAAACCGAGUAACAUUAAAUACUGAAGUCUGAAAGGAAUGGUAUCCUAAGUCAUCAACGACCCCGGCCCCUUUUUUAAGUUUCCAAGUCCACCCAUUCUACUGCUCGAGAGUCAUGAGCCAUAUAUACGUUGAAGGGAUACUGGAACUGAACAUGAAAGGUGCCUACAUCUCCAUCAAGUAGUUGCUAAGUUAGAAUCAAUGAGAUAAUUGUUAGGAAACUGCUGUGUCUUUGCUUAGUCAUGUGGAUGAUAUAUAUGAAACACAGACUUAACAAGAAAUAUGGAUUAAGGUCAUGAUUGGCACUAUACACGACUCUAGCUGUGAUUUUAGCCUCUACGAUUUUGGGUACAUGACUUUUGAAUUGUGAAUACUAGUAUAGCACUCGGUAAAAGGUUUGAUUGCUCAGGUAACGGUCAAUAUAAUAAUGCAUCAUCCAAGAUCUCCACCUCAAGGAAAGAGUUUCUCUCGCAUAAUCCCGCAACACAAAAAUCUGCAGCUAAUGUGGUAACAGGGAGCAAAUGCAUCAAUCAGACGAGAUCACUGUUGUAACACAAUUACAAAAGACAAAGCAUCAAACCUAAAGAUAAGCACAUGAACUCUAACGUAGCAGCCAAGAUGCAUCAAACUGCAAACUUAAUAUGCAUCUCGUAGUUAUAUAACUAAACAAAAUUAGCAUACUAAAAAUGAUGCUUUCUUUACUGCAUUCAAAAUAUAUAGUUCCAAAAAUGCACAAGGUAGCUGAAUUACACUCUAGUGAUCCAGCCUCAACAUAAAUCAGCAGUAAGCUACUCUAACUACAGAUAUUGCCGCAUUUAUGCAUUAUCACUAUCACUACUAGCCUUUGGUUUUUUUUUUUUUUUUUUUUCCCUUUACUGAGUUGGUUUAAUUUUUGGUGAUUACAGUCUUACAGAGGAAUUAAGUAUAAAGAAAACAAAACAAAUAAAAAGCAGAGGGGAUGAUACCUAAGCGAAAGAGCAGCGAUUGGUGCUCAUCGGAAUUCCACCAGCAAAGGCACCCAGGUAGUACAGCAAUUGCUUCAUGAACUGCUCUUGGUCCUUAUCUUCACAUCACCAUCACCAAAUUUCACCAAAAAUCCACAACCAAAAAAUCUAGUAUUUUUUUUUUUUUUACUUGAUCACAAUUUCACAUCACUACUCAAAACUACAGAAAGAGGGAGUGACUGGCGAGGGCAUUGUAGAAGUCACGGCCGAGGAAAUUGAAGCCGACGCUGAUUCCGGUGGUGGCGAGAGUGAGAAGAAACACUCCGCCGAGCUGCAUCCUCGCCUGGACCUUGUCGUCGGAGGACCAGUACGGCGCCGCCACCUUCCAGAAUCUCCGGAGCAGCGUCUGCAAAUCCGAACCUUCCCUUUGCUGCCAGAUUCAUCAAAUCAGAAUCACCAAACCAAACUUGCACUAACCAAAACUAGAGAAUCUACAGUAAUAAAGCACGCACCUUUUCCGGCGGAGUUGGCGGCGGCGGUUGUGGAACCGAGUCAGACGCGGCCGCGGCACAACGCCAUGAAGCGGCGUCGUUUCGUCUCCUUCUGAUUGGCAUUGUGUGGAGGGAUGAGGGAAGCGUGGGUGUUGUGACUACUAGUGAUUUAAUGUGAUGGUGGGAGUGGUGGGUGGAGUAGCCAUGAGUCAAGCACAGUGAGACGUAGAGAGUUUGAGCAGCCAGUGUUAUCAUUUUUUGUUUUAAAUUUCGUUUCUUUUUGUUACUGGGUUUUAUUUUCUGGUUAUGGUUUGGUACGGAUCCGGCUCCUUAAACUGAGGAGCCCGUAACAUUAGUUUAAGUUUAUAAAAUUCACACUUUUUAUCUAAUACUAAUUUUUAUACUCACGAUACUCGCGUAUGAAAACGUUGUUAAUAUGUAGUUUUCCUUUUCCUUUUGUGAAGUACGUUAAUAGGUAGCUGGAGUUUUUAGUAACAGAAAAUAAUUUAGUAGUGAUUCGUGUUUUAAUUGAGACUUCUAUGAAACUGUAAUAAAAAAUGUGGAAUAUCUAAAUGAAACCCAGUAAAUUUCACCUAUUACUAAAUUUUGGCACUAAAAAAGAACAAAGAAAAAAUCCAAUUUAAAGUACCAAGUGAAUACAAUUGAAGAUUUGUAAUUCUUUCCUCAACCACCAAAAAAUAUUUUCAUGCUUAUCAAACGAUAGAGCAGUAGCAGCAAUUACGGGAGAGCAACUCAUCCCAUUGGAGCUUGUUCUAACUGCUAAGGCUUCCAUUAUCUGCAAUAGGACGCACUUUUAUGCAUGAUUUUUCCCAUAUGACGUUCUUUUUUCUCCAUGACUGCACUUUGGAGUUUGGACCAUGAUUCAGAAAUCAGAACCCACAAAAAGUAUUGAUGCGAUAUCUCGACAGAAACAGUAAGCUCCAAAAUCAGUGGAACAAUCAAAGCAAACAAAAAUAUAUAUAUCAUCAUAACAAAAACUAAAAUCUAACUGAAAUAUUGUAGAAGAGAAACACAAAUCAAUUGAGACUUGAGAGGCAACUGAAAGUAGAAGAAUCAAUCCCAGACCUUACCGUGAAGAACCAUUGCCCGUCUCCAUUUUACAAUAAAAACAAUCUCGCAUAUUAGGAGUCUAAGUUCAAUAAACAACUACUAUGAACUAAUCCAUUUAGCCAGUACAUUUAAAUAAGAAAAAUACAAAAUCAUUCAAAGAAAUGAAAGAAAAUAUGAUCACCAAUGCAGGCACCUAAGAGUGACCAAUAACAUUUUAAUAGAAAGUCACAUACCUGAAGUCUGGAACCUGUGUUUGUAAACACCAGCUUUCCACUUGUCCAUAUAUCUUUCAUAUUGUUGUUGGCUUGUUGCCAAGAGAAUGGAACGACAGAGAACAAAGUUGAUCCAAUCAUUUCAUUCAUCAAAUGCAAUACUACUUCAGACAGUAAACCCAUUAAAUUUAAAUUGAUGAACAGAUCAAGUGAAAAUGGUUUGGGAUAUGAUCAAAGUUUUUGAUAAAUUAAGAUCAAUGGAAUAAGGAAUUAAAGGAAGUCCACAAAUUGAGUUUAAGAGACAGAUACAUACCUCUUUUCUUCUGGCCGAGUUUGAUCCCCAUCUUUCUUCUUUGCUCUUUCCCACUUAAAUCCUCAUCUUCCCUCUUUCUGUGUUUGAUUCUCCUAAUGUAUAAACUGUCUUCAAUAUGUAAAAUCAAAUAGAGCCCAGUUGAACUUCAUCAAAGAACCGUUCAGCAAAGCAUAUAUAUGAAAUAUCUUAAAUAAAAAUAAACAUUGACGAAGAUGAAUGAAAGAAAGAACUUUUUGUGGAACUUCAAUGGCAAUUCAGUUAACAAAAACAACUAAUCUCUACUGCAAUAACAAAACAAUCUUAUGAGGUGAUACUGUACCUCCCCUCCUUGAAAUGGAAACUUAUUCCAUGACUGAGCCGGCUGAUCCGUUUUCAAUGUUUUUUUUUUCCUAUUUUUGAGACUGAUUUUGGGUACGAUUGGUCCCUCGUUUUAUAGGAAACCGUAUCUACCCCGAUAACAUCCCCUACCCCGAUAACCUCCCACAUCUUCCCCAGUCUCCGCUGGUGUCGUGUUCGUGCGGCUGCAGUUAUCUUUCGCCUGCAGAUCGUGCACAGGGUUAUUUAUUAUUUAUUUUUUUUCCAAACCUUCCGUUUAUAUAGUUGGUCUGACUUUUUUGUUAUUUUACAAUAUCAGCCCUUAUAUUUGUUUGUCUGAGUCAGAUGAUUAAAGGGCAGAUCAGACGGUUCAUAAUUUGGUGAAUUUCUAAACGCCUGGCUUUAUUGUUAGGGCCAAUUACAUAGAAGUCCAUUUUGAGACAUUUUUUCUCAUAUAGGUCCACCUAAACAUUUUUACCCACAUAAGUUCAUCCAAGCCUAAAUAGAGUCUUAUAUUAGGUAUUAAAGUUUAAUAAAAUUACAGAAUGUCAUCCAACCAAAAAAUUAGAUUUUCUCUCUUAUAUUUAUAAAAAUACCACUAAUAUAAAAAGUCAACAAUCACAAAUGGUCUCUGGCUGACCUUUCGGCGAGGACUCCGGCCGACCUCCGACGAAUUUUCCGGCCAACCAUUUGUGAGGAUUCUAGCGACCACAAAAGCUACUACUACUGACAACAAAAGAUACUAUCGCCGACAAAGAAAGCUACUACCACUGACAACAAAAGAUAUUACCGAUAGCAAAAAAAACUACUACCACCAGCAAAGAAAACUACUACCGAUAGCAACUAAAGCUAUUACCGAUAGCAACAAAAGCUACUACCACAAGCAAAGAAAGCUACUACCAUUAAUAACAAAAUAUACUACUGAUAGCAAAAAAAACUACUGCCACCAGUAAAGGAAGCUACUACCGAUGGCAACAAAAGCUAAUACCACCAGCAAAGAAAGCUACUACCACUGACAACAAAAUAUACUACUGAUAGCAAAAAAAGCUACUGCCACCAGCAAAGAAAGCUACUACCGAUAGCAACAAAAACUACUACCGAUAACAACGGAAGCUACUAUCGCCAGUAAAAAAAGUUACUACCACUGACAACAAAAUAUACUACUGAUAGCAAAAAAAGCUACUGCCACAAGCAAAGAAAGCUACUACCAAUAGCAACAAAAGUUACUACCGCCAGCAAAAAUGCUACUACCGCCACCAACAAAAGUACUACCACCAGCAACCAAAACUACUACUGCCACCAAUAAAAGCUACUACCAUAACCCACAAAAUAUACUACAACCACCGACAAAAAUACUAUCUAAGUAAUACAAAAUCUACUCGAUCUGUCAAAAUAUACUAUUACAAUGACAAAAAUGUACUGCAACUGUGUUGAAAAUAUACUACACUCUAAGACCUUUACAAAUUUGAAAUUUCGAUUGCAUUCAUCUCAUACACUAUCGGAACACGAUCACAUUAUUUCUCUUCCACUGAAUUUCUAUCGAAUGAAGAGCAACAUCAACACAAAACAUCACCCUACUCUUUGUUUACAAUUUCUCAAAACCAAAGGAAAUAGACUCUAGCCAAAUUACAAACGCAUCUUACCAUGCAAUGGACUCAAACACUAUACAAGCUACCAAGGAAAACUAUCAAAUAUACAUGGAGAAAUCUGAGGGCAGAUAAUCAAUGUAGGAUCGGAGCCGACCUCUUGCCAACCUCCGGCAGACCGCUUCUGAACACUGAAAAUUGAAACCCUAAGAUGACGUCUUCGCCGUCGACAGUGGAUUUGCCACCAUGAAGGUCAACGACGAGAUCGGGAGAAAGAUCCGACAGAUCUACUAAGGCGCAGAAGAUCUCUGCUUCAGUAGAGGAGGCGCGUGACUAGUCGGGCGCCGAGCAGGAGGUGGACGACGUCGUCGUCGUAAUCAGUUGGAUCUUGUAAAUGCGAUCGAGGUCGAAGAAAAAGUCGUCGAGGCAUCGUCGACGGUCGAUCCAGAUUCCAAAACUCACCGUCGAGGCGGCGUCAUCGUCAGAAAUGCAAUCGAGGAUGACAGAAAAUCGUCGUCGAGGCGGCGGCGGCUUCAUCGUAGCGACGGCUUCAAAAUCAAAGGUGGAAGAAUGGAGAGAGAGAGAGAGAGAGAGAGAGANNNNNNNNNNNNNNNNNNNNUUCUAUUAUUGUUAUUGUAGUAGAGAUAAAGGUUUUGAGCAUGACACAUCACUCUUAAAUUAAUUUAGGUUAACCCAUGAUUAACUUUCGUAAACUGCCGUCAACUAAGUAAUCUAAAAAAAAAAACAGAUAAAAAGCAGACGAUUUAUCGUCUCCUGUUGUACUGCGUCUGCUGUCUUGCUUCUGUGCUGUUCUUUUGUUCCUCUGCGCGACAAUGGAAACUCGUCCAUGGUUACAAGAAGGCACAAAUACAAUCAAGGUCAUCGAGGCACAGAAGAAAGGGUUAAGUUCCUUUGAUGUGCAAGAGUCUGUUCAUUCCUUUUUAUUGUCUAGUUUGAGGGGAUUUCAUUUAUUCAAACAUAUAACUUUCAGAUCAUGGGGUAUGCGAGACUCAAAGAUCGUUGCUAAACUUUGAAAUCAACUGUUUGAUUCUUUUGUAUUUGGGAUUUUUGUAGCGAGUUCUAAUAAUGCACAUAAGAUGUUUGAUGAAAUGACAAGCUCAAUUUUUUUAUAUCGAAUUCAAAUUUUGUUCAUGUUAACAUAAUAUGAUUUUUGGUAUUAAUUGACAAAAGCCAUAAAGCUGAUUUUCAUAUGUACUAAUUUCAUGUUUAUCUGGUACUCGAUGACCCUCUUUUGCGCACGCAUACCUGACUGUAGUAAUUUGUCAAUCUCUUCGACUCUUGUUUGCAUACAUUUUUCUGACCCCAAAACCAGUUCGGCCUCCGUAGUUCUUCCGAAAUUCAAAUGCAGCAUCUAGGGUAUCAAAUUGCAUCCCUAUUCGAGGAAUCCAAUCAAGAGACUUACUGAUGCCCUCGUAUAAAAUAUUUCUUGGAUGUCAUCCGUCCCACUUCGUAAGUAUUAAAAGAACACAAAUAAGAACUAUAAGAUACUAUGGUUAAUAAAGUAUCAAGAGGUCGUUGUAAAGGAGGAACCUGUUUGCAUUUGUGCCUUCUUGUAACCAUGGACGAGUUUCCAUUGUCGUGCAGAGGAACAAAAGAAUAGCGCAAAAGCAAGACAGUAGAUGCAAUACAAUAGAAGAGAUGUUAAACCCUUUGUUUUUAUCUCUUUUUUUUUUUUUUUUUUGGUUACUUAGUUGACGGCAGUUUACGAAAGUUAACCAUAUGGGUUAGCCUAAAUUAAUUUAAGAGUGAUGUGUCCUGCUCAAAACCCUUAGAUUAGAUAAAGAGUGUGGAUUUAUGAACUUAGACUAACUUUACGGGCUCCUCACUUUAGAGGAGCCGGAUCCGUUUGGUAUUUUUCAUUUCAAAGCGGGUUUGUCUGAUUUGUUGUGGAGGAUGUGCCCCCAUGCUACUGGUUUUUCAGUGUUUCAUAUUGUUGCAGAAAAAAGAAAAAAAAGAAUAUGGAUUAUCCUUGACGAAUGAUCCCCAUAAUGCCACGCAAUUUCUCAACUUUUUUCCAUCAAUUUCGAUUUACCAACGUUUUAUGGUGUCAAAAAAUAUUUUAGCGGAAAUUUAUUAGAGUAAUUUUUAGUAGAUUGGUUUUUUAGCUAUUUCGGAAAGUAUAUCAAAAUGAUCCUAUCUCGUUAAUGAAAGCAGUCACAAAGAUGAUGAAUUUCACUCAUUACACACAAAGAUAACACCGUUAUACAUUUCUUUGUCAUUUAGUCUAUUUUUAUAAAAUGAGCAUAAGACGAUCCAAUUUGCAAAUCGGUUGAUUUGCUAAAUUUGGAUCAUACUGUACUAAUACUAAGAUCACUUGAUCAAUAGCCUUUGAAUUUAAAUUCAAAUAGAACUUAUGUGAUCCAUUCUGAAAAAACUGAUAUGGGCAUUAGAGAUUCAUUUGCAUAUACAAAGCCUUGGUAGGGAAUUCAUUUGCUAACCCAAAUAAAUUGAAGAGCAAGUAGAAGUAGUAACCAAUACUUUUGAGGUGACGGUCGGUAGCUAGGCUUCAUAAUAGCAGAUUAGCAGGCUAGCAGCUAUCUCAUUAUGUAUACAAUGUUUUUUUAACAAGGAAUUAAGAAUGACUUGAACAUGACAUGUUUUUCUUUUACGACAAAACAAAACAUGAAAACAAACUAUAACACCUACAAAUGCUCGAGCACAAUAUAUAAAUUUUUGGAUUGACCACAUAAGGUCAAAUACUCAAAUCAAUAGAUUUUGCAAGUCCUUUUACAAGUUUCAAACGCAUCGAACUUUGAUACACACUUUCAGGAAGGUAUUAGAUUCAACAUCAAACUUGUUUGAAUCAUCUAAAACAUGAUCCAAGUCUUUUUUUUUUUUUUAAAAAAAACUUUUUAUUAAAUAACUCACACACUCUACAUAUGUCAAUGAGAUUUGAACCCAUGACGUCAAAGUUGUUAGUUAACCACCUUAACCAACCACGUCACGGCUCACCGACAAAACAUGAUCCAAGCUUAACUAUUUAUUACAUGACAAUACAAAAUUACAAACCAAACUUAUAUGCAUCUUAUAUAUACUAAUUAAUCUCACAACAAUAGACAUAAUUCAAACUCUAAAGACACCAACAAACCCAGGAACAAUACCGGCCGUACUCUUCAACAAAGCCCCAGCACCAAAGGGCAGUCACAUGAAAAGCACCCGAACCAAAGGAGAAUGAAACAAUGUACCCCUCAAAAAAGCCAGAAAUGCCCCAUAUUGACCGCCUUCAGUGCAUUUUAUUCUUUGAUUUUCUUAUCUUCUCAAGUCUUCCUUUGCCAACGAGCUACUCUCACUGCGAUGGCCGAUUCUACCCUCUCUUGUAUGUUAUCAAAGAAUCGGAAAUAGGCAUACCUCCAUGAUUUCUUCAUAACCAAUGUGCCACAAACACUCCAAAACCCUGUGAUGAAGCCAAGUGCACCCUAACAUACAUACCAAGCUUCCCAUUAUCUUCAUUAUCGUCGUCAUUAUGACCAUCAUCAUCGUUGGGGUCAGCUGGUGCUGGUGCGGCGUCUCCCAGGCAGAGAGUUGAAAGAGGAACCCCACACAAGGAUGGAUUACUCUCGUAAAUGGAUGAAUCAUUGAGUGUUUGAAGUUGGUUACCUAAAGAAUUCUUCCGGACAAGUUGUUGUGAGACAAGUCCAAGUGAGACAAAGAGGUUAAUGAAGAGAGACUGUGUAGAAUAUGUCCGGAGAGGUUAUUGUGCGAGAGAUCAAGAGUUUCCAUCCAUUGCAAGUUUCCAAUCUUUGAGGGAAUAUUUCCGGUCAGAUGAUUUCUGAACAAGUUCAACGUCCCCAAGGCAAUAAGGCUGCUUAUACCUUUAGGGAUUUCACCAUCUAAGUGAUUUGAUGAGAAAUCAAUGGUAUUCACCAAAGGCAGAGUCUUGUUAUACACCAGUUCUUGUCCCUUCAAUGUCAAGGUGGUAGCCUCAAGAAAAUCCGAAAUAAAGGACCGAGUAACACCCGGAUCAGUGUCAUUACCAAAAGCCAAAGCAGUCAAAUUGUACAAACAUUGGGGAAUGGUCCCUGAAAAGUUGUUGCGGCUAAGAUCAAUGACAUGCAGAGAUUGAAAAGAGCACAAUCGAUUGGGAAUAUGUCCGCUUAUGGAGUUCGAUCGCAAUUGGAUCCUACGUAAGUUGAAAGAGAGGGUGAGGUACUAGGAGCUGAUGGAGAUGAUGGUGAAGUAGUGGAUGAUACUUGAGGGGCCACUGGUGAGGUGGGAGAGUUGUAUGGUCUGAUGGAAGAAUGGGAGGGAUCAAGUGACAUAGUGUGUGAUGAGAAAUAAAACUCCAAGAUCUCAGUCGCGGCGUUAUGUGCAGGAGUAGCAGCACUAGUCUCUCGAAAAAAACAAUUUUCAUUAAAGAUGACAUGUUUGGACAAAUAGACUCGACCUGUGGACAACCCUAGACACCGAUAUCCAUGAUGAUUGAGAGUAUUUCUGAGCCUGAGAUACGUUAAUUCAGUUUGAGAUCGAAGCCACAUCCCAAAGGCAGGACCUACUCUGCAGUCAACAAUAUCGAGUAAAUCAAGUUUGAAAGGAGGAACCCAGUCAUGAGCCACAUUCAAACUGAGGGAGAAAGGUUGCUCUGUGCUUAUAGCAAAAGACUCUACCUUUGUGAGAGUUUGGAAAUGGAUUCUGUUAAAAUGCCUUCCCACGAAUUCAAAGAUAGAUCUAGGUCAACUAGUUGUCCCAAACUUGCAGGAAUGGACCCAUUCAUAUGAUUCCUAGAGAUGUAUUGUACAUGCAGAGAGACUCAGCUUAAUAAAGGAGAACGAAUAGGUCAACACUUGCACGUCCUUAUACUCAGAGCAUAAAGAAUGGCUGAUAGGGGCAAUAUUUUAUAAACCAUUAUGCUCAGAAACAUGGUACAAAAUAGACCACCGCAGAUGGCAAUACUUUUGACACAAACCUCCUUCCGAGGCCUCAUCUCUUCUUCAUUCUGGAGCCUACUGCUGCUGUGGUGUGGAUUCAGCUGCUUAUGCUUUCCCUCCAGUAGAAUCAGAUUUUGCUUGUGAUGCUGCCAUUGCUACAACUUCACCAGGAGGUGGGUGGUCAAAUCUGCAGGAUGCGGCAUACUUGCAUGUGCCAGUUUUAAGGUAGUACACACAUAUAACAGCACCCUGUAAAAAAGCUCCACCCUAGUUAUAAGAUUUCAUCAUAAAAGAAUAGAUAUAGUAAAAUGCUAUGCAAUAGAAAACCCUGUCACUUCUCCCUGGAAAAAAAGGUUUCGACUGCUAACAUUCCAUUUCUCCCCUCACUAUCCGACUAUCGUGCAAACCGUAUACUCAUAGUAUUCAUAGCUUUACGAGAUAAGUGCAAUAUGCGCAUGCUGAUUCAAAUACUAAGCACAAUGUAAUCAUUCUUAUUAGGAAUAGGCGCAUGCUUUUCAAGUUUUAUGGAAUAUACUGGUACCCUGCUUAAAACAAGGAUUUGUUAACCCUACUGAUAAAAAGACGGGAUGAUCCCAAUAGAGUAUAGCUCCA
rnacentral:lncRNA from 1 species